AGGGGGGUACGUUAAAAGCAGUAAAAUCUUCCAAAGGAAAGAAGAAGAGAGAGAGCAUAGAGGGGAAAGAUGGCCGGAGGAGGAAAAAUGCUUCGGACUCUGGGUGUGACUCUGCAUCAAAGAAAUUAAAAGGAGACAGGGGUGAAGUAGACAGUAAUGGGAGCGAUGGAGGUGAGGCAAGCCGAGGGCCCUGGAAAGGAGGUAAUGCCAGUGGAGAGCCAGGGCUGGAUCAGAGAGCCAAGCAGCCACCAUCUACAUUUGUUCCCCAAAUUAACCGCAACAUUCGCUUUGCCACUUACACCAAAGAAAACGGCAGGACUCUGGUGGUACAGGAUGAGCCCGUAGGUGGGGACACACCUGUACCUUUCACUCCAUAUUCUACAGCCACAGGUCAGACACCUUUGGCCUCAGAGGUGGGUGGAGCCGAAAACAAAGAGUCAGGAAAAACACUGGAACAAGUUGGCCAGGGCAUGGUGGCUUCAGCAGUUGUGGUCACUUCCGCCAGCUCCACCCCAACCACGGUGAGGAUCUCAGACACUGGCCUUGCAGCAGGGACUGGGCCGGAAAAACAGAAAGGCAGCCGGUCACAGGCCUCAGGAGAGGUGAGUUGCUCUAGGGGCAGAUUUGCUAGAUUUGUGUUUACUCUCUCACCCUUCCUUAUUGUUAACACCUUCACAGACAUCUCAAAUGCCCUAAGGAAGGAAUAUUUCUGAGAUAUGCUUAAAUUAUAUUCUGUGGCUAGGCCUUUACUGCUCUCCUUGAGCAAAUGUGUACAUUUUAAUAACUUUAUCAGUUUUUAAAAGCCACUUGAACAUCUGGACUCAGCUGCGCAUACCUGUAAUCCCAUCAAUUUAGGAAUCAGAGGCAGGAGGAUUACAAGUUUAAAGCCAGCCUCAACAACUUAGUGAGGUCUUCUCUCAAAAUAAAAAUUGACUGGGAAUGUGGCUCAGUGGUUAAGUGCCCCUGGGUUCAAUCCCCAGUACAAAAAAAAAAAGUCACCUGAACAAUUGGGCUAAUCAAAAACUGGUUAUACAACCCAAUUUAAUGAGAUUUAAAAUAGAUCUGAUGGGGAAUCUUUUUAAUUCAAUUAUCUAUUUAGUUCACCAAGUAGUUGAACCUCCACCAAAUCUGAGAGGCAAGAUUAAUGAAUUAUAGUGUUGGUAAUAGUGAACACUAUAAUUAAGGCUGUGAGUCCAAGCUACCAUUACCCUAUUUUCAGUUCAUCAUUUUCUGUGAUAUUUUCCCUUGAGUCUAGGUUACUUUCCAUCGUUUAGUAUGGCCAUAAAAGUUUUUCCCUCACUAAUUUCAUUCUUUUAAUAAGCCUUACUUGAUGGAUUUAAUCAUAACAGUUAUUGCUUUGGUCUUUAUCUGAUAGGAUUUUUUUUUUUUUUUUUUUGCUAAAAUGGAACUUUUGUUAAAUGUAAGUUAAUGUCAAGUUGACACUGCAAUCCAAAUUUAAGACAGUAUCAAAAUCUAUUCUUUUGGUACUAGGGGCUGUGGCUCAAUGGUAGAGCGCUUGCCUGGUACGUGUGAGGCACUGGGUUUGAUCCUCAGCACCUCAUAAAAAUAAAAACUAAAAGCCAGGCAUGGUGUUGCAUGCCUGUAAUCCCAGCGGUUUGGGAGGCGGAGGCAGGAGAAUCACAAGUUCAUAGCCAGCCUCAGCAAUUCAGCAGGGCACUAAGCAACUCAAUGAGACCCCAUCUCUAAUAAAAAACAAAAUAGGGCUGGGGAUUUGGCUCAGUGGUCUAGUGCCCCUGAGUUCAAUCCCUGAUACCAUAAAUAAAUAAAUAAAUAUGGGGGGGGUUUUUGUCCGUCUACAACUAAAAAAAUAUAUAUUUAAAAAUUGAAUUUCUUACUGAUUUUGGUCACCAAACUGAUUCACAUAGGCCAACUCAAGCUAGAGUAUGAAGUGAAAAGAUGAAAUGCAUAAUGAUUUUUUUAAAGUACAUAAGCCAGCCAUGGAGGCACGUGCAUAUAGGCCCAGCUACUCAUGAGGCUGAGGCAGGAGGAUCAUUUUAGCCGAGGAAUUUGAGGCCAGCCUGGACAACAAUGAGACCCCAUCCAAAAAAAAAAAGCAAAAUAAUAUAUAGGAAACUACUGUGUGCUAAGUACUGUGCAUUAUAAAUAUUUUAAAUCACUACUUAAAGGAACCCACACACCAAAAUAGGAUAAUUUCAGGUAUAACAACACAGAUAAAGCAUGACAUAGGACUGGGUGAUAUGGUUUAAUAGAAAAAAAUCUUGCCUAGCAUGCAUGAGGCCUUGUGUUUGAUCACCAGCCCCACAAAGAACAAAACAAAGCAAACAAAAAACCCAUGGUAUAUAAAUUUCAUCUGACUAAUUCCUAAUUCUAGCAAAUACAAUGUGUUAACCCCUAAUAUAUAGGAAUAGAGAGCGAGAUGAAAUGCCUAGGUAAAAGAGGACUGUAAAUGCAAAUUUCACACUGUUUAUGAUUUUUUCCUCAGUUAGUUGACCUAUAGUCCCAAAAGAACCAGGUGAGGAUCAUAGAUGAGUUUCCAAUGUGUAAAAAAAAAAAAAAAAAAAUCUUCAUAAUUUCUGCACCAUUUAAAAUCAACUCUGUGUUAAGGCAGUAUGAAUGUAAAUGAGAAUUACAAAGUAAACCAAAUUUGUGACCUACAAGAAAAGAUCCAGUGAAUGUCACUGUUCUUGGAGUAGCAAAGCUGAUAGAUGAAAUGUGGAGUCAAUAUUUUUUUCAAAUAGGUUGUAGAAACUUCUGUGAAUAUCAUUUUGCUCAUGUUUUAGCCUCUUUCUGCAGUAUGAUUUAAAAUUACAGACAUGAAUGUUUCUGUUACAAUUCUUAAUCUGAAAUAGAGAAAUAGUUACCAGGACUUUCUUGCCCUAAAAGCUGGAGUUGAAAUCAGUUUGUCAUCGCUUUCUUAUAAGGAAAGGAUUUGGAAUUUGAUCAUUUAAAAGAAAAUGAAAGACCAUCCAAAUUAUUUUUCAUUCAUGUGUGUAUUUAUUUUUAAAGGAUAAUGUUAGUAGUAAAACAUGAGCUACUCGUGCAGGUUUCUUGCAGUCAUACAGAUGUCCAGGCUCUGAGCCAAUCCUGCUAGUGAAACAACAGCAAAAUCUCAGGGCUGUGUCAGUCUUAUUUUGGGUGGUGGGGGCAGGGGGGCAUCUUAAAUCAAUGCUUUUGUAGUUAGUAAGAAAAAAAAAUGAACUUUAAUUUUUUAACUCUAAAAUCUGUCAACAGAUGUCAACUGCAAGCAAGCCAUAGGAAGUGUCCCUGGUUCUUCUCCUUCUAUGUCACCUUUAAGGAUAUUUAGCAUUGUAUCAUUUUAAAAUGUAUGAUUCUUUGGCAUGUAGUACAUUCACCAUGUUAUAAAACCACUACCACUAUGAGAUCCAGAAAUUUUUCUCCUUUAAAAUAAAACCCCAUAUUCAUUCAGCAGUGAUGGAAUAAUUUUUUAUUUCCAAUGUUUACAAAUGAAUGUUUAGGUAUCAUUCUCUACUACUUGAAAGUUGGUUGGUGUUUUUGUUUUGUUUUGUUUUAGUUAAUCUACAUUUCAAGUCAAGUGCUAGGAUCUGAGUUUUAUUAAAUUAACGAGUACUACAUAAGGGCUCAUAGCUACCUAAGAGUGUCUCUGUGUGUGCAUAUGGGUACAUAAUGUAUAUGAAAGUGCCCCUACCCUUAUUUAUACAUAUAUUCAUUCACAUGCAGAAGUUAACAUGGGAAGCAUUAUAUAACAUUUUAUUUUCCAAUUUGUUAGGCUAAGUGUUUUUAUUUGGUGAAUAUUUCAGUAAUGUACAUUUUUCCUUUGGGGACUUUUGUUAGAUCAUAAUUAUAACAGAAGAUCUCAAUGGAUAGCUUUCUUUAUUUUAGCAUCUUUAGGAGUAAUAUUAAUUGCAAAUUUUAGGUAGAUUUAAACCAAUAAAUGGCCAGUUUCCAAAAGGAUCCUUUUGUGGAGUUUCAGAUUAAUAAAGAUACUUUUUCUUUAAUAAGUGGGCUUAUCAUAGAAGUGAAGUUACUUUCUAUAAGAUGAAGAUAUUUGCAAUAGCUUAAAUAAAUCAAAACUUUGUAGUUUCUAAGGUCAUUCAGAUAGAUUGAUAUUACAGAGGUCACUAGGUAAAUUUCAAAGUAAAAGCUGUCAUCAGGAAUCUUCCCACAGUUCCCUAACAGAGUCUCUGUUUUCAAAUACUGUAAAUACUAAAAAGCCUACACACCUUUCUAGAACUGACCCAUUGGGUAACAACUAAAGGAGAGGCAGGUUGAAUGACAUCUCUGGCUCAUCUUGCUAGAGUUAAAAUGCCCUCUGUGGUUUAUGGCAAGUUUUUUCCCUUCCAUUGCUGGUGAAAUCCAGAAGAGCAAAUAAGUAGAAUUGUAGGAGAGAAAAGUUGAUUGAUCAAUUGAUCAAUAAUAAAUAUUGAUUCAAUGAUAGGACAAGAAAGAGCUCAUUAGGUUGUCAUCUGAAGCCAGUGUCACUAAUUCAGGCUAUCUUCCUUUCAGAAUUCAAGAAAUUCUAUUCUGGCCUCUUCUGGAUUUGGAACAUCUCUCCCAAGUUUAUCACAACCAUUGACUUUUGGAAGUGGAAGGAGCCAGUCCAAUGGGGUUUUAGCUACAGAGAACAAACCUUUGGGCUUCUCUUUUGGCUGUAGCUCUGCUCCAGAGUCUCAGAAAGAUUCUGAUCUCUCCAAAAACUUGUUUUUUCAAUGCAUGUCCCAAACGUUACCCACCAGUAACUACUUCACUACGGUUUCAGAGAGUUUGGCUGAUGAUUCCUCUAGUCGGGACUCAUUCAAACAAAGCCUUGAGAGUCUGAGCUCAGGCCUGUGCAAAGGCAGAUCCACUCUUGGAGCAGACACUAAGCCAGGCUCUAAGGCUGGCAGCGCUGUGGACCGGAAAGUGCCUGCAGAGUCCAUGCCCACCCUUACUCCAGCCUUCCCCCGGAGCCUCCUAAAUACCCGCACCCCAGAGAGUCAUGAAAAUCUAUUUUUACAGCCCCCUAAACUGUCCCGAGAAGAGCCUUCUAACCCUUUCCUGGCAUUUGUGGAGAAAGUUGAACACAGUCCUUUCAGCAGCUUUGCAUCUCAGGCAUCAGGUAGCUCUUCCUCUGCUACCACUGUCACCUCCAAGGCAGCAACCGGCUGGCCCGAGCCUCACUCGUCUGCAGAUUCAGCAUCUUUAGCAAAGAAGAAAACCCUCUUCAUUACAACUGAUUCCUCCAAGCUGGUGUCUGGUGUUCUAGGCUCAACUCUUACCACUGGGGGUGCAAGCCUCUCUGCCAUGGGGAAUGGCCGCUCCAGCUCACCCACCAGUAGCCUCACCCAACCCAUUGAGAUGCCUACUCUCUCCUCAAGCCCCACAGAGGAGAGGCCAACUGUGGGACCUGGGCAACAGGACAAUCCCCUCCUCAAAACCUUUAGUAACGUCUUUGGCAGGCACUCGGGCUGCUUUCUGUCCUCCCCAGUAGAUUUUUCGCAGGAGAACAAAGCUCCUUUUGAAGCUGUGAAAAGGUUCUCACUGGAUGAGCGAAGCUUGGCUUGCAGACAGGACUCAGACUCUAGCACCAACAGUGACCUGUCAGAUUUGAGCGACUCAGAGGAACAGCUGCAGGCCAAGACAGGCCUGAAGGGGAUUCCAGAACACCUGAUGGGGAAGCUGGGCCCCAAUGGGGAGCGUAGUGCGGAGCUGUUGUUGGGCAAGGGCAAAGGGAAACAGGCCCCUAAAGGCCGACCUCGGACUGCACCCUUGAAAGGUGAUCCUGCUAGGGACUAUACGUGGGCUUUGCUCUGGCACUUGCCUCAAAAUGCUUGUGCUUUUGUGCGGCAGAUGCCUUCAUAUUGAUGGAAAGUUCUAGAAUCUUAUAGAAUUAUAGAGGCAAAGAACCUGGCAGAGGCACCUUAUCAAACUUGGUUGAAUCUAUACCAGCAAUGUAAAAGGGUUAUCUGCUCAUAAAAGAGGACUAUUCAUCUUCAUUAGCUUGUUGUUUUUAAUUAGAAACUAUAUGUCCUUGUGUUGAUUUCAUUCCUUUCUAUUUCAUCAUCUUUAAUUUGCUUCCAGGGAGUUACUAAGAAUUAGUUUUCAUUCCCAUAUUAGUUUUCAUCCCUUUGUAGACUUGAUGAAACAAAAAGAUUCACUCCCUUGGUUUGUUCCUCUCUGAAAUGUAAGGAUUUUUAACGCCUCUACCAAAAAUCUAUGAAUUUAUGAUGUGAGGUUAUGGUCUAGAAGUGUAUAAGAGAAAGUCUGGUGGUAAAAGUAGCUGCUUUCAUUAGGAAUUGAUAUCCUGUGAGAGCCCAAAAAGCCUAGAUUAACAGUAGGCAUAUACUGAGUGUCUAAGGGCAGGUGAUGACUACCUUCUGCUGCAUGAGGCACAUACAGUUCUCCUUAGCUCCCAACCAAAGCCUCUUUGUUCCUUGCUCUUCCUUUCUGGGUUCAUGGUAGAUUAUGUGCCCAAGCAGUGCAAAGAGGAAUAGCCCUUUGACCAGUGUUUGUUCACAUGAGGAGUUUGUUAGUGGACCCUACUUAUGCUUCUUCUGACAGCCUUUUCUCCUCCCUUCCUUGCCACAGUUGGCCAGUCAGUGCUGAAAGAUGUGAGCAAAGUGAAGAAGCUCAAGCAGUCUGGAGAGCCCUUUCUACAGGAUGGGUCAUGCAUCAAUGUGGCACCUCACCUGCACAAAUGUCGUGAGUGCCGCCUGGAGCGGUAUCGAAAGUUUAAAGAACAGGAACAAGAUGAUUCUACUGUAGCCUGCCGCUUCUUUCACUUCCGGAGGUACCUAAAUUCCUCUCCUUGCUGUCAUUCCCAGUUUUCACUAGUGCCAUAUAAUUCCCACUCUUUCUCUAAAUCUAUAAAUUUGUCUUUCUCAGUUUUCCAUAACCCCUAUGCUCACAGGGUGUAUGCUGAGGCUUUGUUGUAGUAAUUACUUAGUUGUUGGAAAAUUAUCCGUGGGUUGGUCCUUGCAGGAUUGAAGUGGAGCAGUUUUAGCUGCUGCCAUGUGCUAUUCCUACUAAGCUGUUCCUAAGUUGGGUUCCAUUUGAAACCAGUGGUAUAAGCAGAAGAACUUCAUUUUAUUUUGGGAAUCUGCCUGACCACUUCUUCUUCUUCAGUGCUAGGGUGACUUGAGUCACUUAAGAGAAGUAAGAUUAGGAGAUGAUGUGAAGCACAUUUCUUUUUAUUUUCUCUCUCUCUCCCUUUUUUUUUUUUUUUGAGAUGAGUUUUUACUAUGUUGCCCAGGCUAUCCCUGAACCUGUAGGCUCAAACAAUCCUCCUGCCUCCGCCUCCUGAGUGCUAGGACUAUAGGUGCAUGUUACCCACUUGGCUCAAUGGAGUAUUUUUAAAAUAGAGAUAACUAAUGAAAACAGCAAUAUCUAAUCACUUUUCCUCUUCCUCUAUGAGAAACUUAGGAUCUGUCAAGGCUGAUUUUGUUUUGUUUUUGUUUAUUUGGCAAUACUGGGGAUUUAACCUGGGGGAUGUGGAGCUACAUCCCCAGUCUCUUUUUGUUUUUUGUUUUGAGACAGGGUCUUGCUAAGUUGUUGAGGCUGGCCUAAACCCAUGAUCCUCUAACCUCAGCCUCCCGCGUCAUUGGGAUUACAGGCAUGCACCACCAUGCCCAGCUAAGAAUCUUUCAUUUUUAAAAUUAAAAAAUCCAAAUGGCUGCUGGGCACAGUGGUACACGCCUAUAAUCCCAAUGGCUCGGGAGGCUAAGACAGGAGGAUCGCGAGUUCAAAGCCAGCUUCAGCAAAAGUGAGGCACUAAGGCUCAGUGAGACCCUGUCUCUAAAUAAAAAAAAGAAAAGCUGCUGAUCAGGGCUUGAGGUGUAGCUCAGUGGUAAAACAUUUGCCUAGAUGAGAAAAAUGUGGGAGGACCUGGGGUUUGAUCCCCAGCACCACCAAAAAAUAAAAUAAAAUAAAUAAAGGCUUAUUGGUGUGGAUGACCUUAUUUGGCAAAUAUUUAUUGAGCAUUUAAUAUGUGCCAGUCAUUAUUCUGAACAUUAAGGAUUCAGUAGUGAACAAAACAUUACAUUCUGGUCUCAGAAAGUUUAGGGAGGAAUUAAAGAAGCAGACAGACAAUAAGAGGAAAAAUAAAUUAAGUAAAUAUUAUGUCAAUUAGUAACUUGAGAAAAAUAAAGACGGGAAAGAGGAUUGAAAUUUCGGUAAGCUAGAGAGGCUACUAUUUUAAACCAGGUGAUCUGAGAAAGAGCAGGUUAAGGAAUGACCUAUUAGAGGUGAAAGAAUAAAGCCACACAGUUGUUAUUCAGGAGACAAGUAUUCCAGACAAGUGCUGCCAUUCUGAGACUGGAAUAUUCUUGAUACAUCCAUAGAACUAGUAUAGCUAAAAUAGAGUAAGCAAGGGGAGUAAUAGAGUUGAGAUCAAAGAAUUAAUGAUGAGUCUAGACUUAAUAGGGCUACUCUAAGGGCCUUGAUUUUUACUGUAAAUAAGAUGUUAUUCAAAAAAACAAAAAAGAAGUCAUUAGAGGUUUUGAGCUGAUGAGUAACACUGAUUAAUGUCACUUUAAGUUGGGCAUGGUGGUGCACAUUAUAAUAAUAGCUACUUGGGAGGCUGAGGCAGGAGGAUCACAAGUUCAACUUGGACAACUUGCUGAGACCCUGUCUCAAAACAGAUAAUAAAGGACUAGGGUUGUAGCUCAGUGGUAAUACGCUCCUGGUUUCAAUUCCCAAUUACCACCCACUGCUUUGACUACCUUUGUGGGAAUAGACUAUAUAUGAGGGCAAGGGGAGAAGCACAGAGAAGUUGAGAGACUAUUGAAGGCAGAGUACUCAGAAUUACCUGAUAGGCUAAAUUUGAAAUUUGAAAGAAUUUCCAGCUGGAGAGAUUGAAAUAACAGUUGGAUCUACACCUUUAGAGUUAAGGGAAGAGAUUCAACCUGGAGAUACAAAUUUAGAUAUCACCAGGGAUUUAAAGCCCAUAGUCUAAUUUGAGACCUCAGGAGUCAGCAUGUAGAUAAAGACCAGAAGCAGGGCUAGGGUUGUAGCUUAGUGGUAGAGAUCUCGCCUAGCAUGCACAAGGCACUGGGUUUGAUCCUCAGCACCACAUAAAUGUAAAAUAAAGAUAUUGUGUCCAUCUAAAAAUUAAAAAUAAAAAAAGAGUCUUAGGACCAGAAGCAUUCUGAGAACUGAGCUCUGGCAUUCUCCAGAAAUGGGAAGUAUUAAAAGGAAUUAGUAAAGGGGACUGAGAAAAGACAGCCACUGAGGACAGAAAAACAGGAAGGUCGGGUGCAGUGGUACAUGCCUAUAAUCCUAGCGACUCAAGAGGCUGAGGCAGAAGGAUUUCAAGUUUGAAACCAACCUCAACAACUUAGGCCCUAGGCAACUCAGGGAGACCUGUCUCAAAAUUAAAAUUUUUAAAAAGGGCUGGGUAUGUGGCUCAGUGGUUAAGUUCCCCUGGGUUCAAUCCCUGGUACAAAAGAGGGAGAGAAAGAGUGAGACAACUGAAGAAAGCACUUCCAGAAAGGAAUAAGGAACUAUGUCAAAUGCUGGCAGGUUGUGUAAGGAAAGGACUGAAAGUGACCUUUUGAUAGCAAGAUGAAAUGACCUUGUCAAAAGUAGUUUUGGUAGUUUGGUAGGCAGAAUGUCUUAUUGUACUGGAUUAGGGAAAACAUAAAGGAAAGGAAAUGGUAGCAGACUUGAAGGAAACUUGGGUCUAACAAGCCAAAAAAAAUGGAGGAGGAUGUGAGGUUGAGAGUAUUUUUGUAAUGGUUAUUGUAGCACGUUUAAAUGCUGAUUUUGUAGAGCAUUAAUAAAUGAUAAUUGGAACCAGGCUUGGUGGUGCAUGCUUGCAAGCCCAGUGGCUCGGGAGGCUGAGACAGGAGGAUUGUAGGUUCAAAGCCAUCCUGUACAACAGCGUAAGACCCUGUAUCUAAAUAAAAUACAAAAUAGGGCUGUGGAUAUGAUUCAGUGUUCAAGUGCCCCAGAAAAAAAAAAAAGAUUGGUAGAGAAAAAGCUAGAUGAUAUAGAAAAGAGGGAAAUUAGUGGAGGAGUGCCUUUGGGUUGGGGAAAAGGGACGGGUGUAGGUGAAGAUAUUAACUUUCAAAUGGACCUCAUUCAGAGCAGGAGAUCAAAUGAAGAACAUGGGCCCAUUUGCAGGAGAGUAUCCACACUUUGGAAUGUGUGGGAUGGGAGCUUGUGAACAAUCUCUUCUGGCUUGUACCAGUAGAACAGGAAGUGAGGUUCUCACAGGGAAUGUAAUUUCAGAAGUAUGAAAAGAAGGAGAGUAUGAAAAUAGGCAUCUAGGAGAGAGAAUCCUCCUGAGGUAGGUAUACAGGAAUUUUAUUUAUUUAUUUUUUUUAGUUUUAUUUUUUGUGGUACUGUAGAUCAAACCCAGGGCCUCACACAUGGUAGAUAAGUACCCUACCACUAAGCUACAUCCCCAGCCCUAUACAUGAGUUUAAAAUGUGAUGAUGAUAUUUUAUUUUUUUCUAGUCACAUUCAGUGGCAUGGGUGCAGUUGUAGAACAGGGAGACAGAAAAACUGAUAAAACUGGUGACAGCUUUUUAAAGAAUCAAUACCUGCUAAGUGUUAAGCCUUCGUAUUAGCUGAGAACAUGUGCAGUUAGCCCUCCAUAUCUACUGGUUUCACAUCCACAGAUUUAACUAACUGUAGAUUGAAAACAUAUUUAAGAUUACAACUGUGCGUGUAUUAAACAUGUAAACACUCUUUUCUUUGUUAAUUAUUUCUUAAUAUAGUAUAAAAAUUAUUUACAUAGUGUUUACAUUAUAUUAAGUAUUGUAAGUGAUCUAGAGAUGACUUAAAGUAUAUGGGAGGACAUACAUAGAUUUUAUGCAAGUACUAUACCAUUUAAACAACCACAGGUUUUGGUAGCUGGGGCAGGGCAGGGAUGUGGCCUGAAAGCAAACCUCCUUGGAUCCCAAGGACAACGGUAUUUGACUGUCUUCUUUUUUCAGGUUGAUCUUCACUCGAAAAGGGGUGCUUCGUGUGGAGGGGUUUCUAAGCCCUCAGCAAAGUGACCCUGAUGCCAUGAACUUGUGGAUUCCUUCUUCCUCCCUAGCAGAAGGGAUAGACCUAGAGACCUCAAAAUACAUUCUGGCCAAUGUUGGGGACCAGUUCUGUCAGCUUGUAAUGUCUGAGAAGGAGGCCAUGAUGAUGGUGGAGCCACAUCGUAAGACAUUCUCUUGCUUGUUUCCAGAUACUUUUCAUUGUAAACUGUUUUCUUUCACUUAAAGGAGGGUUAAAGUGGAAGAUGGCAUUUUUCUGUGAAUGAAUUAAGACCAAUAAGUUUUCUUUUUGUAGUAACUAUAGCUGAGGCCUUAACUAUAUCCAGCAGACUUUAUUUUUUCAAGUCUUUGACAAUUAACCAAAAAAAACUUACCAAAAUAAUUUUAUCAUUUUAUAAUCCUACCAGCAAUGUAUAGAGGUUCCUUCCCUGCCUGUCAUUUUUUGUUACACAGGUGCCAUAAGACACAUUUGAAUCCCCAAUUUUAUUUUUAUUUUUUUUAUUUCAAGACAGCACCUUGCUACAUUGCUUAGGGCCUUGCUAAGUUGCUGAGGCUGGCCUCAAACUUGUAAUCCUCUUCCCUCAGCCUCCCAUAUUACUGGGAUUACAGGCAUGUACUGCCAUGCCCAGCUGGUUUAUCCUGAAUAUUUUUAGUUUGCUUUAAACAUAUUUGUAUUAAUAAGUAAUACUCUGGUUUGUGAAUAAAUGAGGUGGACCACCUACCAUAUUUAUACCUAGAACCCACAUAAUUAUUAAGACAUUUAUAGUAGUUCCAUAUCUAUAAGUUACUAUACACUAUCCCCAGACCAGGAAAGACUAUACAUGAAAUCAUGUCCUAAAUUUCAAGAGACAAAUCUUACUUAAAGCUUUCCCCAGGUUAAAAUUUUAUAGUGUCUUAAGUGACAACAUGUAGCAUUAACACCAGGCUAUCAUAACCUGGUAUUACCACAGACCUUUGAAAUGUUAGACAUUCCUCAUAUAUUUUUUUCUCCUCUUAAAAUUAUAGAAGCACAAACUUCAUCCGAGCACAGUGGCACAUGCCUGUAAUCCCAGCAGCUUGGGUAGCUGAGGGGCAAGGAGGAUCACAAGUUCAAGCCAGCCUCAGCAACGGCAAGGUGCUAAGAAAAUCAGUGAGACCCUGUCUCUAAAUAAAAUACAAAAAAUUAGGGCUGAGGGUGUGGCUCAGUAGUCAAGUACCCCUGAGUUCCAUCCCCAGUACUCCCUUCAAAAAAGAAAGAAACACAAACUUCAUGAAUAUUUGAGUUUUAUUACUAGACAGAAUGGUUUGAAUGGGGAUCAGCGAAUCAGGGUCUUUUGCUAGUGAUUAGGAUUAUCAGUGCCAACAUUAUUACUUUUUCUCUUUCCACCAGAGAAAGUUGCAUGGAAGCGAGCUGUGCGUGGUGUGCGGGAGAUGUGUGAUGUAUGUGAAACAACUCUUUUCAACAUCCAUUGGGUUUGUCGCAAAUGUGGAUUUGGGGUCUGCCUUGACUGCUACCGGCUCAGGAAAAGCCGUCCACGGAGUGGUAAGCAAAUAUUGUCUGAUAAAAUUCUAAAGGGAACCUUUAUGUAUCAGUUGAGUUGUGAAACUUGGAAAUUGAAGGAGUAAUCAGCUUGUACUGCUUAGUUCCAUUUGUCUUUGUUGUAAGACCUUAAAAUUUCCAAUGCUCAGUUUAUCUGGGAAGGCUAAAAAAAAAGCCAGGAAGGAUCAUUCCUCAUCUUUCCUUGUUCUGUUUGGUUUUAAAAAUAUCUUUAUUGAAGUAUAAUUCACACCAUAAAAUUUACCCUUUUAAAAUGUAUAAUUAAAUGAUUUAAAUCAUAAGAUUGUGCAACCAUCACCAUUAAUUCCAUUUAAUAUCUUUUAGGAGUCCAUUCACCAUUCCUACCUCCCCCGGCCUUGGCUACCACUAAUUUAAUUUCUAUCUGAAGGUUUGCCUAUUCUGGUCAUAUCAUGUAAAUGGAAUCAUAAAAUAUUUGAUCUUUUGUGACUGGCCUAUUAGCAUAAUGCUUUAAAGUUUCAUCCAUUUGUAGUUCUUCAGUCUUUUUUCUUUUUCAGUACUCAGGACUGAACUCAGAGCCCAUGAGUGCUAGUCAAGAGUUGUACUACUGAGCUACAUCUCCAGCCCUUAAUUUUUUUUUUUUUUGUAAAUUUUUUUUAUAGUAGUGGACACAAUACUUUAAUUUUAUUUUUAUGUGGUGCUGAGGAUCGAACCCAGUGCCUCACAUGUGCGAGGUGAGCGAUAUACCAACUGAGUUAUAACCCCAGCCCCUUAAUUCUUUUUUUGUAUUGCCAAGCAGUAUUCCAUUGUAUCAAUAUAGUACUAUAUUUUUUCUAUCAACUGAUGUACAUGUGGGUUGUUUUCACUUUUGGCUGCUAUGCAUAGUGCCACUGUAAACAUUUGUAUAUAAGUUUUUGUGUGGACAUAUGAGUUGUCUUGGUUAUACACCUAAAAGUGGAAUGACUGGGUCAUAGGAUAACUAUACAUUUAACCUUUUGAGUACCUGGACAUGGUGGCACACACCUAUAAGCCCAGCUACUUGGGAGCAGAAGUUGGUAGAUCUCAUUUUGAGGCCAGCCUAAGCAACAUAGCAAAACCACCUCUCAAAAAAUAAUAAUUGGCCAAGUAUAUUGGCACAUGUCUGUAAUAUUAGUAACUCAGGAGUCAGAGACAGGAGAAUUGCAAGUUCAAAGCCAGCCUCAGCAACUUAGGCCCUAAGCAACUCAGUGAGACCCUGUCUCUAAAUAAAAUGAAUAAAAUAAAAAUUGCUGGGAUGUUGUUCAGUGAUUAAGCACCCUAGCUCCAAUCUCUGGUACCAAAUUGAAAAAAAGAAAAGAAAACAGGAUAACAUAGAUAAAUCAGUUUCAAAUAUUGAGCAUUAGGCAGUGUGGGACUAUGAUACCUGAGAGAAGGGGAGAAUCGGUGGUUCCUGCAAUUGUCCUAGCUUAGUACCUAGGGCCAUUUUCCAGGCUGUAACCCUGGAAAGGGAACUAAAACGGAAUCUGGCAACCUCACUACAUUGAGACAGAGGUCAGAGUCUGAGAAGAAUAAGCGUAGGACUGAAGAGAAGGGAGCUGCAGAGAGAACAUGAGGAAUCUACAGAGGUCCCUUCAAUUUUUUGUCAUAUACUGAUCUGCACAUGCAUGAGAUGAAACUCCUCAAGGCCUAAGAAUGAACUUUUAGUAAACAACUGAGUAAUUUGUAGACCUUACAAUUUGCAUUCCCAUCAACCAGAGUUAAGGAGAUACUUGGUAGAGUCCAAAAGAAUAACACCUUAAUACUGGACUUAAUAUAGCGCCAGAAUGAAAACUUCUCUGGACCUGCCAUAGGAAAGUGUAAAACAAGCCUCAGAAGAAUCAAACUGACAUGCAAGUUACUUAACUACACUAGAUUAAAGCCCAACAUCUCUUUUUAAGAGAUUACAAUAAAAUCAGUGCCCAGAAACAUAAAAGUCACAAAUUCUUUAUUUAGUUUUAAUUAUCAGAUUUGUAAAACCUGGGCAUAGUGAUACGUGAUUGUAAUCCCAGCUAUGGCAGGAGGAUCACAAGUUUGGGACUAGUUGGACAACUUAGCUAGACCCUGUCUCAAAUUAAAAAAAAAAAAAAAAAAAAUUAAAAGGAUUUGGGUUGUAGCUCAAUGGUACUGGUGGGGAGAAUUCAUAUAAUUCAAAAGAAGUCAAGAAAAAUGAAACUAAAAUAAACUGUAACAAAUAGAAAACAGCUUUAUAGGAAACCUACUUUAAAUGUGAAGACACAGUUUAAAAGUAAAAAAGACGGAAAAUUAUAUCCAUGGCUAACAUGACUUUAAAGAAGUUAACUGUGAGUAUCAGACAAGGUACACUUUAAAGCAAAUAAAUAUUAGUAAGUAUAAUGUAGGUCAUUUCAUAAUAAUAAAGGAAGAGCAAAUAAAUAUUAGUAGGUAUAAUGUAGAAAUCAGUUCAUUGACAAGAAAAUAACAGAGCUGGGGUUGUAGCUCGGUGAAAUUAGACAACAUGCUGUAAAUAACCCGUAGGUCAAAAAACAAAUCACAAGAGAAAUUAGAAAAUGUUUGAAAUGAAUGAAAAUAAGAACAUCCACAUUGUGGUAUGCAGCUAAUGCGGGGAAUUUUAUCACUAAACGCCUAUAUUAGAAAUGUCUCAUUUGCCUAAAGAAACUAGAAAAAAUGAAAAUAUGCAGUUUACCAGUAUUAAGAAUGAGAUGAUGAGGGCUAGGGUUGUGGCUCAGUGGUAGAGUGCUCGCAUGCACAAGGCACCCGGUUCGAUCCUCAGCACCACAUAAAUGUAAAAUAAAGAUAUUGUAUCCACCUAAAGCUUAAGAAUAAAUAUUUUAAAAAAAUAUGAGAUGACCUCACCACUAAUCAAUCAGACAUUAGAAAGGAUAAUGAAUAAAAUUAUGAACUUUAUGUCAAUAGACUUGAUAAGAAAUAUAACAAAUUCCAUGAAAGAUACAAACCAUCUGAAUUCUCUUAAGAAGAAAUAGAUUACCUGAAUAACCUUAUUUUAAGCAGUUGAGGCUACUCACCUGUAUUUUAAGAAAUUAAGGCUAUUGGGGCUGGGGUUGUGGCUCAGUGGCAGAGAGCUUACCUAGCAUGUGUGAGGCACUGGGUUCAAUUCUCAGCACAGCGUAUCAAUAAAUAAAAAAUAAAAAUAAUAAAAGUCCAUUGACAACUAAAAAAAUAUUUUAAAAAAAGGAAAUUAAGGCUGAAAGUUCAAGGUCAAGCUGGGCAACUUAGGCCCUGUGAAACUUAGUGAGACCCUAUCUUUUUUUUUUUUUAAUAUUUAUUUCUUUUAGUUGUACACAAUGCCUUUAUUUUUAUUCAUUUAUUUUUAUGUGGUGCUGAGGAUCGAACCCAGGGCCUCACACAUGCCAGGCAAGCGCUCUACUGCUGAGCCACAACCCCAGCCCCAAGACCCUAUCUUAAAAUAAAAAAUAAAAAGGGGUGGUGAAUGUAGCUCAGUAAUAAAGCACCCCUGGGCUCAAUCCCAAGAGAGAGAAAAGAGGAAAUACAUUACCUGAAUAAACUUAUUUUAAGAAGUUGAAGCUACUUAGGAGGCUGAAACAGAAGGAUUGCCAAGUUCGAGGCCAGCCUGAGCAACCUAGCAAGACCCUGUCUCAAAAAUAAAAUGGGUCCCUAGGUUCAGUCCCAAGUAGUGAGUAAGGGAGGACAAAUGAAUUUGUAGUUUAAAAAAACUUCCAAUGAAGCCAGGCGUGGUGGCACAUGCCUAUAAUGCCAGCGUUGAGGGAGGCUGAGACAGGAGGAUCACAAGUUCAGAGCCAGCUCCAGUAACAGCGAAGUGCUAAACUAAACUCAAUGAGACACCCUGUCUCUAAAUAAAAUACAAAAUAAGGCUGGGAUAUGGCUCCGGGGUUGAGUGCCCCUGAAUUCAAUCCCUGGUACCCACCCCCACCAAAAAAAAAAAAAAAAAAAACUUCCAAUGAAGAAAACUUAUGGCCCAGAUGGUUUUACUGGUAAGUUAUAACAAACAUUUCAGAAGGAAAAUACUAUCAAUUGUACUCACACUCUUUCAGAAAAUAGGAGAAAACACUAACUCAUUUUAUGAUGUUAGCAUUACAACACAUUAAUACCACAACCAGAUGAAGAUAUAACAAGCAAGGAAACUUAGAGCCCCCAAUAUCUCUCAUGAGUAUAUAUUUAACAGUUAAAAAUCAAUCAAUGCAAUUUAUUAUCAGUAAACACUAAACAUAAUUAUUUCAAGAAAUGCAGGAAAAAAACAUUUCUCAAGAUUCUCAACAAACAGCAGUGGUCAUGGCCAAGUGGUUAAAGUGAUGGACUAGAUUCUCAACAAAUUAGGUCAUGUAUUCUCAAAUGGUGAGAAUUGGUUCUUUCAGGAGAAGGGGAAUCUAAGAAGUUACAGGUUGACUAACCCUAAUUCAAUACCCUUGAGACAAAAAUGUUUCCAAUUUUAGAUAUUUUUAAAAAACAUUUUGUAGUGUUUACCAUAGACCUUACAGAUUGAACAUUCCUAAUCUGAAAAUCUUGAAUCUGAGAGCUGGGAAUAUGUGGUAGAUCCUCGCGUAGUAUGCAUAAAGUCCUGGAUUUGAUUCCCAGCAUUGAAAAAAAAAAGAAAGAAAAAAAACCUCUGAAAGUCCAAGAAAUUUUGAGCACACAUAAAGUUUCAGAUAUGGUUGCUUAACAUGUAUGACAAUGGUUCAUGCCUGUCCAGAGGACCACAGUACAUAAGCAGACAUAUUGUAUAUGUGGUAUUAAAAUCGUAGGAUGGCAAGCACAGUUUAAAAAAAGAAAAAAAAAAGCUUAAAGGGGCUGGGGAUGUGGCUCAAGCGGUAGUGUGCUCGCCUGGCAUGCGUGCGGCCCGGGUUCGAUCCUCAGCACCACAUACAAAGAUGUUGUGUCCGCUGAAAACUAAAAAUAAAUAAAUAAAUAUUUAAAAAAAAAAAAGCUUAAAAAUGUUCUUUGAAAGGAUGAUAAAGUUAGAAAAACACUCCAGUGUCAGUAGGAGCAUCAUACAUAAUUGGAAAGACUGGAAAGCAAGGAUGUCCACUUUCAGAACUCCUUGUCAUCAUCAUUGUGCUGGAAUGAUUAGUAUAAAGAAAUAAAAGACAUAAGAUUGGAAAAAAGUAAAAUGAUUAAUCUCACAUGGAAUGAUUAUGCAGAAAAUCCUAAGAAAUGUAUAGAAAAGUCAACCUACAGAAAUCUGUUUAUCUUAUUUCUAUGUGAUGGCAGUCAACAUUUAGAAAUUGAAAUUUAAAUCAAUAUCACUUAGAAUAGCAUCAAAACAUGAAGUGAGCUGAGCACUGUGGUGCACACCUGUAAUCCCAGCGACUCAGGAAGCUGAAACUGGAGGAUCCCAAGUUCAAAGCCAGAUUCUGCAACUUAGCAAGACCCUGUCUCUAAAUAAAAUAUAAAAAGGUCUGGGGAUGUGGCUCAGUGGUUAAGCACCUCUAGGUUCAAUCCCUGGUACAAAAAAAAAAAAAACAAACAAACAUGAAAUGGGGCUGGGGUUGAGGCUGAGUGGUACAAUGCUUGCCUGAGGCCAAUCUCCAGCACCACACACAAAAAAAAAAAACACCUUAGGGAUAAAUGUAGCAUAUCCAUAGAAGACAUAGAAUACCUAAGUAAAUGGAGAUAUGUACUAUAUUCAUGUACAGAUUGAAUACAAAGAUGUCAGUUCUUCUAAAAUAAUGUAUAAUUGAAAACAAUUCAAAAUCAAAAACCCAGUGGGUGUUUUUGUAGAAAUUGAUAAACUGAUUCUAAAAUUUAUGUGAUGGAGAAUGAUAUUGGCUAAAUUAUAUUGAGUGCAUGUACAAAUUAUACACAAUGAAUCUCACCAUUGUGUAUAAUUAUAAUGUACUAAUAAAAAUAUGGGAAAGAAAUGACACAUAAAUAAAUAAGUAAAGUUUAAGUGAAAUGCCAUAGGGCAUGGAAUGGUGGUCCACACCUUUAAUCCCAGUGACUCGAGGCUGAAGCAGGAGAAUCACAACUUCAAAGCCAGCCUGGGUAACUUGUGGGACCCUGCCUCAAAAAAUAAAAAGGGUUGGGGAUGUAGCUCAGUGGUAAAAUGCCCGUGGGUUCAAUCCCCAGUACUGCCUAAAAUUGUAUGUGAAAUGCAAAACCUAGAAUAACCCAAACAAAAAAAGAAAAAACAGAGUUGAAGGAUUGUCCUGUGCUUCAUUCCAAGACUUGCCAUAAUGCUGUAAGUAAUCAUUAUAAAAAAUACUGUAAGUGGACUAUAGUCCUAAAUUUAAAGAUUAAGGUGAAGAAAGUAUUUGUGUUCUUGAGUUAGACAAAUAUUUCUCAGGACAUGAAAAGCAAAAAAAAAAGAAAAAAUUUAAUAUCAAAUUUUAAAACUUGUUCUUCAGGGGCUGGGGCAGUAGCUCAGUGGUAGAGUGCUCACCAGGCAUGCAUGAGGCACUGGGUUCGAUCCUCAGCCCUACAUAAAAAUAAACAAAAUAAAGGCAUUCUGUCCAUCUACAGCUAAAUAUAUAUAUAUAAAAGUUGACUUUAAAAAAAAAAAACUUGAUCUUCAGAAGACACUGUUAAGGAAAUUAAAUGAGACCACAGACUGGGAAAAAAUAUUUAUCAAUCAUAUUCACUAAAGAAUUUUGUCUGUAAUACCUAAAGACCUCUCACAGCACAAUAACAAGACAACCAAGUUUUAAAAUGAGCAAAAGAUCCAAAAAGGAAGAUCAAGGGGGCUGGUGGUAUUGGUGGAGUGCUUGCCUAGCAUGCACAAGACCCUGGGUUCAAUCCCUAGCACCACACACAAAAAAAAUCAACCCCACAGUAGUAGCUCACACCUGCAAAUUCCAGCUACUUAGAAGGCUGAGGCAGAGUAUGAUGAGUUCGAGGUCAACCUAGGCAAUCAUAUGAUCUAGCUUCACUCUCUUAGGUUGUUAACAAAAGAAAUGAAAACAUGCCUAUACAAAGACUUGUACAUGCAUGUCUAUAACCACUUAUCUCAUUAUAGCUUGGAAGCAAUUCAAAAGUCUACUAAAUGAUAAAUAGAUAAGGAAAUUGUUAUAUAUCUAUACUUUAGAAUACCACCCAAAGAGAAUGAAGAGCUAAGGAUAUAGUUCAGUGGUAGAGUGCUUGCUCAGCAUAUUCAAGGCCCUGGGUUCAACUUAAAAAAAAAAAAAAAGAAUUACUGGUACAAACAAUACAGAAAUACAGAUGAAUCUCAAAAGUGUAUGCUGAGUAAAACCCAACACAAGUGACUACAUCCUGUGUGCUUCCAUUCAUAUGAAAUUCUAAUAAUAUAAAACUUUAGUAUUAAAAAGUGGAUCAGUGAGGGGCUGAGGUUGUGGCUCAGUGGCAGAGCACUUGCCUUGCACAUGUGAGGCACUGGGUUCAAUCCUCAGCACCACAUAAAAAUAAAUAAGCAAAAUAAAGAUAUUGUGUCCACUUAUAACUAAAAAAAAAAAAAACUGGAUCAGUGGCCAGGUGCAGUGGCACACUCCUAUAAUCCCAUUGGCUUGGGAGGCUGAGGCAGGAGGAUUAGGAGUUCAAAGCCAGCCCCAGAAACUUAGCAAGACCUUAAACAACUUAGUGAGACCCUGUCACUAAAUAAAAUACAAAAUAGGGCUGAGGAUGUGGCUCAGUGGCUUGAGUUCCCCUGAGUUCAAUUCCCCAUACCCGCGCCCCCGCCCCCCCAAAAAAAAUAAAAAGGUAGGAAGGAAAAUGGAUCAGUAGAAGCUAAAAUUCAACAAAGAGUAUUAGCUCAAGAUAUAGGAUAAAAGUGUUCUGUAUCAUGAUUGUGACAGAGUUUGUACAACUGAAUGAAUGUUUGUUGAAACUCAUUGAGGCACACAUUUUAAAUUGUUGGUUUAUUUUAUAUAAAUUAUAUCAGAGUAAAGCAGGUGUUUUUAAAGUUAGCUGUUACCUUCUUUCACCAUGAGAAAAUUUACCUUUAAGUUUUUGAAGCUUUGUCUCACUAAGAGGGAUCCAUCUUGUGAGCCUAAUAAAAUAAAUGAAAUCAUUCGUUUCUGUUUCAGAGACAGAGGAGAUGGGUGAUGAAGAGGUUUUCUCCUGGUUAAAGUGUGCAAAGGGACAGUCACAUGAACCAGAGAAUCUCAUGCCCACACAGAUCAUCCCUGGCACAGGUAAGGAAAUUUCUUUUUAUCUUUUUUUUUUCCCUAACAUGCAUAAGGCCCUGGGUUCGAAUACAAGCAAUGGGAAAAAAAAAAAAAAGAGGUACAUUGUUGGGUUUUGUUUUUGGUACCAGGCAUUGAACCCUGGGGCACUUAACCACUGAGCCACAUCCCCAGCCCUUUUUAUAUUUUUUAUAAAGACAGUGUCUUGGGCUGGGGAUGUGGCUCAAGCGGUAGCGCGCUUGCCUGGCAUGCGUGCGGCCCGGGUUCGAUCCUCAGCACCACAUACAAACAAAGAUGUUGUGCCCCCCGAUAACUAAAAAUAAAUAAAUAAAUAAAUAAAUAUUAAAAAAAAAAGACAGUGUCUUGCUGGUUUGCUGAAUCUGGCCUCAAACUUGGAAUCCUCCUGCCUCUGCCUAGUGUUUUUUGCUUUUUUGGUGUUUGGGGGUUUUCUUUCUUUGUUUUUUGUGCUACUGAAGAUUGAACCUAGGGGCACUUUACCACUGAGCUACAUCCUACACCCCCCAGCCCUUUUUUAUUUUUCAUUUUGAGACAGAGUCUCCCUGAGUUGUCCAAGCAGGCCUUAAAUUUGGAUCUUCUUGGCUUAGCUUCCCUAGUAACUAGGAUUACAGCUUAUGCCACCAUUCCUGUCUGGGAAAAAAAAGUGUUUUUAAUUGAAAUAUUUACAUUCCAUAAAAUUUGGUGAAAUGGUUUAUCUUAGUUUGAGGGUUUUGGUUGUUUUUUUAUUUUAUUUGUUUUUUAAGCCUAAACUGAGCCUACUGGCACAUAUCAUUAAUCCCAACAACUCUGUAGGCUGAGGCAGGAGAAUUGCAAGUUCAAGGCCAGACUUAGCAACUUAGAGAGACCCUAUCUCAAAAUUUAAAAAAAAAGGGGGGGGGGGGGCUGGGCAUAUAGCUCAGUUGGUAGAAUGCUUGCCUCUCAUGCACAAGGCCCUGGGUUCAAUCCCUAGCACCACAAAAAAAAAAAAAAAGCUUCACCAGAUUUCUCAGAAUUUGAAUCUUUAGAUAUAUAUAUAGUGCAUGCAGCAACUGCAUAUUCUGUACUGUCUUUCUGGUCAUAAGACAUAGCUCACUGGGUUUCUAGCUAUCAUUUCACAUUCCUAUGGUUGGCUGGACUAGAAUGAAAAAGCCAGUCCCUAGGGUUCCAGAAAGACCUCUGGUUUUAGGCUUAUAAUAAUCCAGCUGAAGGUAAUCAAACCCCUUGAACCCUUGAGGAAGGUGGCUAGCUUAAUAGUAAGAACAAAUGAUGAUAUUUAUGUCACAAAUCCAGUUUACUGCAGUGAUUCCUCCAGAAGUUCUGUAUCCCCAGCUUUCACAUUUCCAUUAACAUACAUGUAUUGGAGUUCUGACUUUGCCAAACCACUGCCCAUCUACUCCUUUACUUAAGGAAGCUUUAGGGGGUAUCUCCAUUGUUUUCAAUUAAGGGCUUCCUGGGUACAGUGGUAGGAUGUCUGUUCCCUACUGGUUUUAGCAUGGUUAUACAUGUGCUUAUGUAAAAUUUACAUUGAUCUAUUUUUUCUUCACCUUUUUUUAUUUAUUUUUUAGGGGAGCCGGAGAUUGAAUUCAGGGGUACUCAACCACUAAGCCACAUCUCCAGCCCUAUUCUGUAUUUUAUUUAGAAACAAGGUCUCACUGAGUUGCUUAGUGCCUCAGCCUCCUGAGCCACUAAGAUUACAGGCAUGCACCACCACGUCAGGCUCUUCACCUUUUUUUAAAAGUAUAAUUUGCGGGCUAGGGACAUAGCUCAGUUGGUAUAGAGUGCUUGCCUUGCAUGCACAAGGCCCUGGGUUUAAUCCCCAGCACCACACAAAAAUAAUAAUAAUAAUAAUAAUUACAAUAAAGUGUACAAUUCAGAAUGUUUGUACUCUAGAUCAUUAAGGAUUAUACCCCUCAAGAUCUUCUGAAGGAAAUCUUGUUAAUUCUUUUUUUUUUUUUUUUAAUAAUAUUCCCUUUUAAUGAUUUUUUUUUUUUUAGAGAGAGAGAGAGAGAGAGAAUUUUAAUAUUUAUUUUUUAGUUUUCGUCGGACACAACAUCUUUGUUUGUAUGUGGUGCUGAGGAUCGAACCCGGGCCGCACACAUGCCAGGCAAGCACGCUACCGCUUGAGCCACAUCCCCAGCCCCUUGUUAAUUCUUAAUAGAGGAGAGAGAGAGUGUGGCUCAGUGGUUAAGAAUUUUUGGGCUAGAUAUGUGAGUUGAAGUCUUAGUACUUCCUUUUACUAACUUUAUGUACUUGAGCAAAUGAUCUAACUUCUUUUAGUUUCAAUUCAUCAUCAAAAAUUAGGGAUAAAUGCAGUUAACACAUUGAAAUGUGGUAAGGAUAAAGGGAAAUAAUAUAAAGAACGUUCUUAGCAAAAUAUGUCUCACAUACAAGUGUUCCAAUAUUAAUUAUUAUAUUUUUUCCAAGCUCUUUACAAUAUUGGAGACAUGGUACAUGCUGCCCGGGGCAAGUGGGGAAUUAAAGCAAACUGCCCUUGUAUCAGUCGGCAAAACAAAUCUGUGUUGAGACCUGCUGUCACCAAUGGGAUGUCACAGGUAAAGUGGUAUGUGUGGUAUAACUAAGUGAAAUUUCAGUUCUUAUUGCCAGUAAAUGCCCCAUUUUCAACAGUGUUUUUCCAGGCCUUUACAAGGUUUCUGAGGAAUUAGGGAAUGGGGAAACCUUUCUAGAGAGCCCAAAAAAUUUACUGAAGGGAUUUUUAAGGUGUGGUUUCUUUUCAUUCAUCUUUAAACCAGUUCUUGGUUGAUAAAUUGCAUGGAGAGUCUCUGUAUCUUGUCAAGGUCUUUUUGUGGGUGAAAACUACAGAAAAGGUUUUUAGGAAUACUUGUGGUUUUUUCAGUCCUGUCUGAGAAGGUACAUCGUCCUAUUAAUGGGUUCAUCUUAGGUACAGAGGACAGAAAUUUGAAGAGUUGGAUUGGUUCUACCCUCAAAGCAAUCGUAAUCCUCCAGAGAGGUAGUGAUUUUUCUCACUGCCCUCUCAGAGACGGGCCAUUCUGGUUUGAUGGUGACUAUGUUGAACAAGCAGUUGUUUUUUAAAAAAGAACCUGCAGCUUACUGUUUACAAUUUGAAGUCUUUCUCGGAAUACCAUGUUUGUUUGAUAAGAGGCACAGGGAUGGAUGCUAAGAGAUCUAGAGAUAUAUUUUUAGCCAGGUUCAUAUAUCAGAGCAAAUAAUUUGGAAAAUUCAGUAAUGUAAUAGAGUGAUAACAUUUAUUAAGCAUUUAUGUGUGCCAGAACUAUGCUAAGCCCUUUCCAUAUGCUAUCUCAUUUAACCCCCAGAAGAACUUAAUGAGUUUUAAUCACCAAUAUGUCAUUGGGGAAAUUAUUUCAGGCAUGCUAAAUCUUUAUUUUAGAUUAUAAACUUUAAGUCUUAUCCCUGUAUUUUCCAUAGAACCUAGCACAGUUUCUAGUGCAUAGUACAACUCAAUAAAUAUACGUCAAAUUAAAAAAUUGGUGAAAUAACAGUUUAUGGGACAGUUUCAAAUUAUUCUUCCAGACCUAUUUAUUGUCAGCAGCCAUUACUAGUCAUGUUUAAUUUUCUCUACCUAAACCAACCACUUUAACCACACUUUUAACAAGUACUUUUAACUUUCCAUGCUUUAGCUUCCCAGCAUAAACCCUAGUGCCUCUUCUGGAAACGAAACUACCUUCUCAGGUGGAGGAGGAACUGCAACAGUCACAGCACCAGAGACUGACCAUGUUUCCAAACCUGAGGGCACUGACAUCAGAUCUGAAGAGCCCCUGAAGGGAGACAGUUCAGCAUCAAAUAGCAAUAGUGAGCUAAAAGCCAUCAGGCCCCCAUGCCCUGACACGGCUCCUCCCUCCUCUGCCCUGCAUUGGUUGGCAGAUUUAGCAACUCAGAAGGCUAAAGAAGAAACAAAAGGUGAGAUGAACACCUUUUGCCCUUCCUAUGGGAGGAACCUGAAGGUUUUUCUGGGAUUCUUCAGACUCACACAUUAUCAUACACAUUAAUGAAACAUGCGUCUUGCUUUCUCUGGCUAAUCACACAAAUGAGGGAAUCUCUUUUCAAUUUCUUUCUAGAAAUAGACCUUUUCUAAAGACAUAUACCCGGGCCCGCCUUCAGGCCUCCCUAGUGAGAAUUGAUGCAAAGUUUUUUGUUGUUGUUUCCUGGGUUUUUUUUGUUUGUUUGUUUUGGGGUUUUUUUAGUUGUCAAUAGGCCUUUAUUUUAUUUAUUUAUAUGUGGUGCUAAGAAUCGAACCCAGUGCCUCACACAUGCUAGGCAAGUGGUCUACCACUAAGCCACAACUCUAGCCCAAAGCAAAGUUUUAGCAAGCUUCCCAGAAGUUCUGUUUUUCAGCCCAAAACACCAAUAAUCUCCAUUUUAUAUAUAUGUGUGUGUGUGUAUGUAUGUGUAUAUAUGUAUGUAUAUGUAUUUUAAUAAAUAUAAAUAUAUAUAUAUUUUUUAGUUUUUAAUGGACCUUUAUUUUAUUCAUUUAUUUAUAUGUGGUGCUGAGAAUCCAACCCAGUGCCUCACACGUGCUAAGCAAGCACUCUGCUGCUGAGCCACAACCCCAGCCCCAACAAUCGCCAUUUUUUUUUUUUAAGUUGUAGAUGGACACCGUAUCUUUAUUCAUUUGUUUUUAUAUGGUGCUUAGGAUCAAACCCAGUGCCUCACACAUGCGAGACAAGCACUCUACCACCUAGCUAUAACCCCAGUCCAACAAUCUCCAUUUUUAACAGGGACUCCAGAUGAUUCCAAUACCCGUGUUCUGGUGACCCACCUGAGUAGCUUGCUCUCUCUCUCUUUUUUUUUUUGGUGGAGGUGUUUGUGGUUAAGUUUUGAAACCAGAGCCUCAUGCAUGCUGGGCAGUCACUUUACCAUUGAGCUAUAUCCCUGUCCCCUGGAAACCCACUUGAAAAACAGUUUUAGAAAAUGAGGGUUAAGAGAGGUGGAUGGAAACAAAAGUAAUCCAAAUCUGGAAAAGAAAGGAAGAAAUAGGAGAGUUUCUCUUUGGCCCUGAGAUCUCCCAUAUUCAUAGCUUGUCAGGUUUGGUCCCAACAAACCUUACACAGUUGUCAGGUAAAAGAGAGCAUCUUUUGUCCCUUCCGCUUGGCUGAUUUUUAGGAGUCAGUUGUCUGAUGGGUAUUUCUUGCUGUGCCUAAAGCUAUUACUGGUUAUGUUCUUACAGAAGCAGGGUCCCUGAGAUCGGUGCUCAAUAAAGAAUCUCAUUCACCCUUUGGGCUGGACUCUUUCAACUCUACUGCAAAGGUCUCUCCGUUGACUCCAAAGCUUUUUAACAGUCUGUUACUGGGUCCCACUGCCUCCAACAACAAAACUGAAGGCUCCAGCCUUCGAGACCUCCUUCACUCUGGACCCGGAAAACUUCCUCAAACCCCCUUGGAUUCAGGCAUACCCUUCCCCCCAGUCUUCUCAACAUCCUCAUCGGUAAGUGUCCUCUCUACAAUUCUAGGCUUUGCUGCUUUUCUAUGAAAGAACCAUCAAAGAUCUGAUAAUUAGGUUAGAGGUCAUGUGGGUGAUUUGUGUUCUCUAUAUUGUCAAGCUGACAACAUAUCUCUUUUAAGUUUUAGGGUGUUUGAGAUCCGUUUAAGUAGUGAACCUUUUGUACCAUGUUAGGAAGUUAGUAAAAUUAAGACAUUAAAAUAUUUUAGUCAUCAGUGGAAAAGUCAAUACAUUGAUCCAUUUGAUUUUCUUUCAGACUUUUUUUGUGUGUGUGUGGUGCUGGCAACCAAACUCGGGCUCUUAUGCAUGCAGGGCAAGCACUCUAACAGCUGAGCUAUAUUUGCAGCCCCUCAGACAUUAAUUUUUUUUAACUUAGCCAAUACAUUUAUAAUGUUACUAUCUUGGAUAUCUUAUAGAUAUCCUUAAACCUUUAACACAUCUAAAACGAACUCUUGAUCUUCUGCCAAUAUUACUUACACUUCUUUAGUAUCCCUUUCUUGGUUAGUAGCAUCUCUAUCCUUUCAAUUACUUGUCCCCAAAAUCUUGGAAUCAUUUGGUACUUUCCUCUCAUAUAUUUAUUUUUGGUACUGGGGUUUUAACCCAGGGGCGCUUAACCACUGAGCUACAUCCCAAGCCCUUUUUAUUUUAUUUUUUUAUUUUGAGGCAGGGUCUUGUUAAGUUGCUUAAGGACUUGCUAGUUUGUUAGGCUGGCUUUGAAUUUGCUAGUCUUCUGCCUCAGCCUCCUGAAUUUCUGGGAUUACUGGCAAUGUGCACUAUGCCCAGCUUCUCCUUGCUUAUAUUUCAUAUCAAUCUAUCGGUAAAUCCCUUAAUUUGAUCAGAAUAUAUUCAGAAUUUACCUGUUUCUUUCCAGCUCCACCUUUCUUACUAACCUGAGCUGAUAUCCUCUCUUGCCUAAAUUUUUGAAGUAAAUUCCUCAGUAGAAUUCUAUGAGGAAUAGAUUCUGCCCGUUACUGUCUAUUUUCUUUUUUUAAAUAUUUAUUUUUUAGUUGUAGUUGGACACAGUACCUUUAUUUUAUUUAUUUUUACGUGGUGCUGAGUAUUGAACCCAGGGCCUCGCAUGUGCUAAGAGAGCACUCUGCUACUGAGCCACGACCCUAGCCCACAGUCUAUUUUCAACACAGCAGCUCAAGUGGUCUUUUUAAAAUGUAAGUCAAAUCAUGUUCCCUCUACCUAAAAUCCUCCAAGAACUUCCUAUUUCUCUUCAUAAGCUAAACAGAGUCCUCAAAAUGUACUAGAAGUCUUUGACUCUUUCUAGGCCUCUUCUCACUUCUCUGACCUUACCCCUCUUUCCUUCUUGUUCAUUCUGCUUCAGUCAUACCUGUCUGCUUGCUGUUUCUUGAACAUAACCUGGCAUGCUUCCUCUGCUAUAACCCAGUCCCUGCACUUGUUUUCUCCCCCAGAAUUUUCCUCCUAUGUAACCAUUUGGCUGGCUUCAUCAUCAACUUCUUUUCUUCCCUCCUAAAAUGUCACCCUCAGGAAACCUUUCUUUAUACAUCACUCUUUAAAAGUUUAUCACAGUAGAGGUAGGGAUGUAGCUCAGUGGCAGAGGGCUUGGCUAACGUGUGAGGCCCUAGCACCACCAAAAAAAAAAAAAAAAGUUUAUCACAUUAGGCACAAUGGUACAUGCAGCUUGGUAGGCUGAUAGGAAGAUUGCAUGUUCAGGGUCACUCUUAGCAACUUAGCAUAGCCCUAAGCAACUUAGUGAGAUCCUGUCUCAGAAUUAAAAAUUAAAAGGCAAAAGUCCUGGGAAUAUAGCUCAGUGGUAAAUUGCCCCUGGGUUAAAAAUACCCAGCACCAGGCUGGGCGAGGUGGUACAUACCUGUAAUCGCAGCAGCUUGGGAGGCUGAGACAGAAGAAUCAAGAAUUCAAAGCCAGACUCAGCAACUGUGAGGCACUAAGCAACUCAGUGAGACCCUGUCUCUAAAUAAAAUACAAAAAUAGGACUGGGGAUGUGACUUGAUGGUUGAGUACCCCUAAAUUCAAUCCCCAGUACCAAAAAAAAAAAAAGAUACCCAGCACUAAACCGCACUAAACCGCCCCCUGCCUGCCAGAAAAAGUUUAUCACAGUACCAUACUCCACUCAUAACUAUCUUCUCUGCUUGUUUUCAUACCACUAACUACCAUCUUACUAGCUGUUUUAUUUAUUGUCUGUCUUUUGCCUUUCCUAAAAGCACUUUUGAUUGUUUUAUUCACCAAUAUAUUCCUAGUACCACAGAAUUUGAUCCAUAGUCAUGUUUAGUUAACAUUGAAUAAAUGAAUUCACAAGAUAUAAAAAGUUGAAAAAUACAAAAGAGUUAUAGUGAUAAGGCCACCCAUUUCCCUUUCUAGAGGCAACCUUUCUCUUUUGUUUCUUUAGUGUUGGAGAUUACACCCAGGGGCAUUUAACCACUGAGGUACAUCCUCAGCCCUUUAUAUUUAUUUUGAGACAAGGUCUCCAUAAGUUGCCUGGGCUGAUCUUGAACUUGUAAUCCUCCUGCAUGGCUGGAAUUGGAGAUGUGCACCACUGCACCCAACCACCAUUGUUUCUUGAGUGUCAUUUCAGAAAUAUUGUCAUAUAUGCUGUCCCCCCCAUUUACAUAAAUGUUCUACAACUUGCUUUUCUCUCUCUCACUUUAUAUGUCUUGCAGGUCAUUUCAAACAAGUAUAUAAAUAUGUUUCUCAUUCUAUGUUAUGAUUAAUGGCUGAAAUUUGAUGAACUGCAAGUGAUUGAACCUAUACAAUUGGGUUGCUUCUCUUCUGCAAAAGUAACUUAAAAAAAAAAAAGGGCUGGGGUUGUGGCUCAAGCAGUAACACGCUCGCCUGGCAUGUGCAGGGCGCUAGGUUCGAUCCUCAGCACCACAUGAAAAUAAAAUAAAGAUAUUGUGUCCACCGAAAACUGAAAAUAAAUAUUAAAAAAAUUCUCUCACUCUCUCUCUCUAAUUUAAAAAAAAAAAAUAUAUAUAUAUAUCAGUUACUCCUCCUAACCCCUGUUGCCCAUAUUAGGGAUUAGACCCAGUCCUUUUUUUUUUUUUUUGAGUUAUUUUAUUUUUAUGUGGUGCUGAGGAUCCAACCCAGCGCCCCUCGCAUUCCAGGCGAGCGCGCUAUCGCUUGAGCCACAUCACCAGCUCACUGAACUAUCUUUUUAAAAAUUUUUUUUUAAUAUUUAUUUUUUAGUUUUAGGUGGAUACAGUAUCUUUAUUUGAUUUUUAUGUGGUGCUGAGGAUCGAACCAGUGCCUCACACGUGCUAGGCGAGCACUCCACUACUUGAGCCACAACCCCAGCUCCUUUAAAUUUUUUUUCAUUUUAGACAGGUCUCGCUAAGUUGCCCAGGCUAUCCUCUUAUCUUAAGAUCCCCCUGCAUUCGCCUCCUGAAUCACUGGAAUCACAGGCCUGGGCCACCGUGCCUGGCAAAAAUUACUCUAUUUUAUUUGUAUUUGUUCAUAUUCUCAGUUCUUUUAUUUUUUUUAAUUUCUUUUUUUUUUUUUUUAAGAGAGAGAGAGAGAGAAUUUUAACAUUUAUUUUUUAGUUUUCGGCGGAGACACAACAUAUUUGUUUGUAUGUGGUGCUGAGGAUCGAACCCGGGCCGCAUGCAUGCCAGGCGAGCGCACUACCGCUUGAGCAACAUCCCCAGCCCUAAAAUUUUCUUUUAAAUAUUUUUUAGUUGUAGAUGAACACAGUACCUUUAUUUAUUUAUUUGUAUGUGGUGCUGAGGAUCGAACCUAUUGCCUCACAUGUGCAAGGCAAGUGCUCUACUACUGAGCCACAACCGCGGCCCCUUAAUUUCACAUUUUUUUCCAGAAUAUUAUAUGGUUACAUGCCUUAGAGAUUAUGAUUAGUGAUUUUUCAGCAAUAGGAUUAUCAAUAUUACAAAAUCUACACCCCCUUUCAUUCUGUGAUGUACGAAAUGUCACUUUCAUCUGUGGGCUUACGCUUUGCUAUCAGCUGAGAUAGAUGAGAGAUGCAUGAUAAUUCUCUUCAGUUACUUAGGUGAAAUAUCUCCGCUGGCCAGAAAAAAAUUUGGAACUCUCCCCCCCAAAUUAAAUGAUCUUUUUCAAUCAGUUAUAUCAUUUUGUGAACUCUGCAAUCUACAUACCAUAGGUAUUUCUUAGGUCUCAAGUCUCUUGAAGCAAAGGGUUCUUUCUAUACUUUUCUUUCAUAAAUGCAAGAUAAAUAUCAAAGAUAAAGGAAUUUAAGGUACUAAAAAUAUCAACUUUUUGUUCCUCCUCCAAUUGUACAAGAUAUUCUGAUAACUUUUGUGGAAUUUAAUCAGAUAGGUAAGAACUUAGAAAUGGCAACUGUGAUAUGGUUUUUUUUGAAUGCUUUUCUUAUGGCAUCUCAGUCAAGCUUACCUAUGUCUGGCAGGGAGUAAAAAGUAAGGCCAGUCUACCCAACUUUCUUGACCACAUCAUUGCCUCAGUGGUAGAAAAUAAGAAAACCUCAGAUGCUUCAAAGCGGGCCUGCAACUUGACUGAUACCCAAAAGGAAGUGAAGGAGAUGGUGAUGGGGUUAAAUGUGCUAGACCCCCAUACUUCACACUCCUGGCUCUGUGAUGGAAGGCUUCUGUGUCUCCAUGAUCCCAGCAACAAAAACAAUUGGAAGAUUUUUCGAGAGUGUUGGAAGCAAGGCCAGGUAAGUAAGAAUAAAGCUUCUGCCUGCCUGGCAUAGCUAUCAGGAUAAUUCUAGGCUUCUGUGGGAGAUCUUUUGCCAGAGAGAUUUAGACAUAAUAAGUGUAUUGUUGAUUUUCCUUGGUCCUUUUAAGUAUCUUAGAUUUUUAAAAUGAAGGAAUUUCUAAAGGAAAAAGUACAAUCAAGUAUCAUUUUAUUUCUAAGCUGUACAACUCUGUGUUCUUAAAAGGGCAGCUGAAAUUACUGUAAGAUAUUAAACUGGAACUGACAAUACCUCAGGAGGAGAAUCCUUAAAUGUGUUAUUAGGGUGAAGGAAUGGGUAGAAAAGGGUAGUACUUUUCUAGGUCUGUGUUUGAAGGUGUCCCAUAAACUUAUGCAAUAACAAUUGUGAUUUUUAUACUUUAGCAGCUGCUUAAGGAAGGAAGAGAUUAUGGAUUUAUCUAGGUAGUUUUUCACUUAACAUUUGAGGAAGUGUUGAAUUUGUUUGCUUACCUCAAAAUAGUGGUAGAUACCAGAGCAACAGAAGUAUUUCUGCGGCAUGCCUCCCAGAGUAAGAAUCCAAUAUAAUAAUGAAGUAGAAGCGGUUUCCAUUCACUUUAGCUGAUGUGUUAAAAUCCAUAAAUCUGGGCUGGGAUUGUGGCUCAGCGGUAGAGCGCUCACCUAGCAGGUGCGAGGCCCUGGGUUCAAUCCUCAGCACCACAUAAAAAUAAAUAAAUAAAGCUACUGUGUCCAACUACAAUUAAAAAAUAAAUAUUUUUUAAAAAUCCAUAAAUCUUAAAAUUGUAAAAGAACAAUAAUUUUGUAGAGAAGAGCUCUCCCUAGGAAACCCUCCUGUUCAGUCCUUUAGCCAUGGAAUUAACAGUAUUUCCUAAAUGGCCCUGAUUAUAUUUUUGUUUCCACAGCCAGUGCUGGUUUCAGGAGUACAUAAAAAGCUCAAGUCUGAACUCUGGAAGCCAGAAGCCUUUAGCCAGGAAUUUGGAGACCAGGAUGUGGAUUUGGUGAACUGCAGGAAUUGUGCUAUAAUUUCUGAUGUGAAAGUUCGGGAUUUCUGGGAUGGCUUUGAGAUAAUAUGCAGUAAGUAGCAUUGAUAUCUAGUUGACUAAUGGCAGAGUGGGAAGCAUCUAUAUGCCAGCUCUGUCCCUGCAAUAACAGAUCAUAUCCUCUUGGUGGAAGGAACCUUCUGUCUGGUGCUAAACAUUUAGCUUGCAUGGCAAUCCUAUGGCUUCCCAAAAUAGUCCAGGCUUUAGCCUGUAAGACCAUAGGGAAUGUGGAAUAUUUUUACUCAGAGGAAACCAGAUAUAAUCUUAUAAAAUGGAGAAACAUGGCAAGUGGGUAGGAAAACAAAGCCCACCUAAUCUAGUCCAUUAUGUGGACUAGGUUUAUAAAUCUGAAAUAAGAACUUUUAUCUCAUACAUAAUCACUGGAAAAAUUUGGGGAGUAACCAACCCCACAGAUGUUUGUGAGAAUACUGUCUCUCUUCCAGAACGACUAAGAUCAGAAGAUGGGCAGCCAAUGGUGCUCAAACUCAAGGACUGGCCUCCUGGGGAAGAUUUUCGGGACAUGAUGCCAACAAGGUUAGUUGUUGUCUGGGCCAUCUUCUGAGAUUCGUGCCUUGCCAAAGCCAUCACAGAAUAAUUACAUAAUCCCAGACAAGUGAAUUUUGCCUCUUUGCUUUCUUGCCCUAUAAUAGCUAAGUUUUCUAUCCUACUGUUUUGUAGGUUUGAAGAUCUGAUGGAGAACCUUCCUCUGCCGGAAUAUACCAAACGAGAUGGCAGGCUCAAUCUGGCCUCUAGGCUACCCAGCUACUUUGUAAGGCCUGAUCUAGGACCCAAGAUGUACAACGCCUAUGGUAUGAGGGAGAGGCCAGAAUUGCCCCUUUGGGGGAUUGCUCAUUUUACUUACAGAAGAUCUUUGGUCAGGGUCAUGAGUAAAGAUGAUUGAGGGCAAGUGACAGGUACUACAGAAGUUAAGGUAUCCAGGAUGGUUUUGAAUAUGUUUGCUUUGUCAUACUGAUUUGUGUAAAAUGUACGUGGGCCUAGUCUAUAAGCUAUAUGUUCCCAGGAAUUAGAUCAUUUCCUCUCAAAAAUUGUACUCAGGGAGACAUAUUCUUAGUUUUGAUAAGGCUCUGAGGUUGUGGCUCAGUGGUAGAGCGCUCACCUAGCAUGUGCGAGGCCCUGGGUUCGAUCCUCAGCAUCACAUAAAAAUAAAUAAAAACAAAGGUACAACUAAAAGAAAUAAAUAUUUAAAAAAAAAAAAAAAACUUGAUAAAAUAGCAAAAAAGGCUCAAUACCAAGGGCUGGAGAUGUGACUCAUUGUUAGUGUGUGUGCCUAGCAUGAGCCAACAAGGUAGUGAGCAUGAGCUCACUAACAUGAGCAAGGCCCUGGGUUCAAUCCCAACCCUGCAAAAUGAAAAAAACAGAUACCAUGCCACCUGUCUAUUACUUUGUAAAGUAUAGAAAUAACCUAAAUCACUGUGUAAGUUGAGCUAAUGCCCAUAGUGAAUGUCCCUAAUGCCCAUAUCUGUUUUGCUUUUAAAGGAGGGACCAUUUUCAGGGAGUGGAUUAAUUCUAUGGCUAAAGCUAAUGAUAGUGUCACCCAUGCUAGAAAUUAAUGUUAGACAGUAUAAGAGAGAUGAAAAGAAUGAUUUUUUUGUUUAUUUGUUUGUUUGCUUGCUUGCUUGCUUAUGGUGCUGGGUAUCAAAUCCAGGGAAUCAUGCUUGCUAGAAAAGUACUCUACCACUGAACUACACCCCUAGCCCCUGGGAUUUCUUGAUAAAUGGAACAGACAUACUUCACUCUCCAGUGGUACUCAUUUGAGAAUGUCCUUGAGUAUAUUUUCAGUUUUAGGCUCUCUGUGGAUUCUUCAGAAUAUUUCCCCUUCACCUUGCAUAUUUUCCUUAACCCUUUAGGCUUGAUAACUGCAGAAGACAGAAGAGUUGGCACAACAAAUCUUCACUUAGAUGUGUCUGAUGCCGUUAAUGUGAUGGUGUAUGUUGGGAUCCCCGUCGGGGAGGGUGCUCAUGAUGAAGGUAUGUUUUCUAGAAAAACUGCUUUAGGUGAUGAGACUUGGCUUCCAGGAAGAACUGAGUGUUUACCUCCUUAGUCAGGAACAGUGGCUUUUUUUUUUUUCUUUCUUUCUUUCUCUUUAUUUCCCCAGUGACUUUUUCUUAAGUUUCUACCAGGCCUGAUAUGUAGUAGGUGCCUAGUGAAUGUUGCUAGAGAAAAAGAAGUUCUAGCAGAGAAGAAUGCUACUUGUGUAUCUUUGACCAAGGGGUAGCCUCACAUGAGGAAUGAAGAAAGGACAAACCCAUCUACUUGGCCCAUCCGCCAGAUCAGCUCUGGAGUGACAGAUGUAAAGCGGGGGUCACCUGAAGCAAAAGGACCUGGAGAUAUAGCUUAGUUGGUAGAGUGCUUGCCUUGCAUGCACAAAAUCCUGGAUUCAAUCCCCAGCAUCACAAAAAAAGAAAAAAAAAAAAGCGAAGCAUAAAAGUGAUAUUUUGCUGUAAUUGCCCUCUUUUGCAAUAUUUUAUGCUGCCUAAAUGUUUAUCUCAAGACACUAAAAAGGGUGUGAUCCCCAUUGUAUUUAAGGGCCAGCUGGGUAGGACAUCUUGGAGAUCAGCUCAAAUCUCAGUGUUAAAAUUAAUGUGUGUGCCUGGGCAUGGUGACUCAUGCCUGUAAUCCCAGUGGCUCUAGAGGCUGAGUCAGGAGAAUUCCAAGUUCAAGACCAGCCUCAGAAACUUAGUGAGUCCCUGUCUCAAAUAAAAAAUAAAGGGAGUGGUGGUGAUGUGACUCAAUGGUUAAACACCAUUGGGUUCAAUCCUUGGCCAAAAAAUAAAAUAAAAUAAAUGAGUUCCUUGUGGAAGUUUCAGAAAAAUGAGAACAGUUUUGAAAAAUAACUUGAAAUGUCAAGGUUUAGGAAUAAUCAGUAUUAUUACUUUGGCAUUUCUUAUUCUGUUGUUAGAUUUGAUGCUACACACCUGUAGGCCUUUCCAUUAUGUUGUGGUUUCUUGUGGAUUAUAAUAGACAGGUAUUAGAAGCUAACCUUCUUAAUUUGCCAGAGAAGCUUUAUGCUUUGUGGACUUAAAUCAGCAAAAUCCUAGAGUUUCAAGUGGUCUUGCAAAAAUGUAUAGAAUCCCCCUACUUUCAGUAGGAAAUAACCCACAAGUUAAACAUAAGAAAUAGCUAUUCAUUUUGAGCAAGAAACAUUUUUUAAAGAAACUACCACAGGGGCUGGGGAGAUAGCUGAGUGGUAGAGCACUUAGCAUAUGCAAGUCCCUAGGUUCAAUCCCCAGCACCAGAAAAAAUAAAAAUAAACAAAAAAUGUCUACAAUUUUUUUCUUUUUUCUUUUUGGUGCUGGGGAUUGAACCCAGGCCUUGUGCAUGCGAGGCAGGCACUCUACCAACUGAGCUACAUCCCCAGCCCUACAAAUAUUUUUUUUAAAAAGAAACUACCACAGGCUGGGUAUGUCACUCAGCUGGAAAACAUUUGCCUAGUGUACAUGAGGCUCUGAGUAUGAUUCCCUAGGACUGCAGAAGAAGAAACUAGAUUACCAAAAAUAUUGAGUCUCUGUUAAGUAAAGAAAGUUUAGAGUUAUUCUUCCCUGUGGGUAGGGAGCUUAGACCAAUACAAAUUUUGCUAUUUCUUUUUGGUGGAGGAAGGGGAUACUGGGGAUUAAGCCCAGGGGUGCUUUACCACUGGGCUACAUUCCAAGUCCAAUCUCUCUUUCUAUUUUUGGUGCUGGGGAUUGAACCCAGGGGCACUUUACCACUGAACUACAUUCCCAGUCCUGUUUGUUUUGGUACCAGGGAUUCGACCUAGGGGUGCUUAAACACUGAACCACAUCCCUACCCCUUCUUUGUAUUUUCUUUAGAGACAGGGUCUCACUUUAGAGUUGCUUAGGGCCUCGCUAAAUUGCUGAGGCUGGCUUUGAACUUUCAAACCUCCUGCCUCAGCCUCCUGAGCUGUUGGGAUCAUAGGCAUUGUACAGACAUGUGCCACUGUGUCCGAUUUAAUUUUUUAUUUUUGAGAUAGUGUUUUGCUAAAUUGCUGAGACUGGCCUUACACUUGAGAUCCUCCUGAGUCAACCUUCAGAGUUACUGGAAUUAUAGGCAUGUGUCACUGUGCCCAGCUCAUGAGUUUUGAUUUUUUGCUAUGUAACUCCAGAGAGAUAGAGAAAAGACCAAACUUGUUUGAUUUGGACAUUGUAUUUCACUCAGAAAUACUGAAAUAACUAGUUACAUUGAAAUUGUCAUUUUGCUCAUUUCAGAGGUACUCAAGACAAUUGAUGAGGGGGAUGCUGAUGAGGUGACGAAGCAAAGGAUCCAUGAUGGAAAAGAGAAGCCAGGCGCAUUAUGGCACAUCUAUGCAGCCAAGGAUGCAGAGAAGAUCCGGGAGCUGCUUCGAAAGGUAUGCCUCUUGGUGAAAUGUGCUCCCAACUCUCAAAUUAAGAGUCUAGAGGGGCUGCAGAUAUAAUUCAGUUGGUAGAGUGCUUGCCUUGCAUGCAAAGGCCCUGGGGUUUGAUCCCCAGCACCAAAAAAACAAAUAAACUAAAAAAAGUGUAGAGACUGAGACAACCUGUCCAAGAUUUUUCAUGUGGAGUCCCUAGGUAUUAAAGACCUAGUGGCCAUGUACGUCUUAUCAGAAUACCCAGAAAAUCUGAGUCAGACUUCGAGCAUAUUGAAUAGAGUAAACCAGAAACUUUGGGCUUUGCCAGAAACACUAAUGUAGCAAGUUGGAUUUAUCCUGUUACUGAUUUUUAUGUAUGACAGCACAAUGAUGCACAUCUGUAAUCCCAGCUACUUGGGAGGCUGAGACAGGAGGAUGGCAAGUUCAAGGCCAGGCUGGGCAAUUUAGCCAGACCCUGUCUCAAAAAAAAAAAGGGAAGGAAGAAAGAAUGAAUGAAUGAAUGAGGGUGGUGAUAAAGCACAGCACUAGAGUAUUGUUUAGUGUGCACAAGGCCCUGAGUUCAAUUCCUGGUGUCAACAACAACAAAAAAUGUAUUUACAGUAGUUUCCCCUUAUCCAAAGGGAAAACAUUCAAAGACCCUCACUUGAAACCACAAAUAGUACCAGACCCUUUAUAUAUUUUCGUUUUUGCCUAUACAUACAUACGUAUGAUAAAGUUUAAUUUACAAACAAGGCACAGUAAGAGAUUAACAAUAACUCAUCAUAAAAUAAAACAGUAUAACAACAUACUAUAUUUAAUUUUUUAAUUUUGAGAUAGGCUGUCUCUAAGUUACUGAGGCUGGCCGGUAACUUGGGAUCCUCCAGCCUUGGCUUCCCAGGUAGCUGGGAUUAUAGGCAUGUAACACCACACCUGGCAUCUAAUUGUGCUUUACCUUUUCACUUUAUGGCUUCUCUGCCAUAUCAGAAUUGCAGCAUCACUGCUUUUGAACUUUGGGUGAUUAUUAGGUAAAAUAAAUAAAAUAAGGGUAUGUGAACACAAGCAUGGUGAUACUGUGAUAGAUAGUUCCUUUGAUAAUGGACAGUAGAAUAGACAGCCAACAUUCAUACUCUGGACAAAGUGAUGAUUCAUGUUCAAGGUGGCAUGGAGCUGUGGAUUUCAUCACACAGUACUCAUAACAGCACACCAUUUAAAACUUAUGAAUUAUUUCUGGAUUGAUUUAUUGAUUGAUUGAUUGGUACUAGGACUUAGAUUCAGGGGCACUUGACUACCAGCCCUGUUUUAUUUUGUUUAGAGACAGGUUCUCACCGACUUGCUUAGGACCUUACUUUUGCUGAGACUAGCUUUGAACUUGAGAUCCUCCUGCCUCAGCUUCCAGAGCCACUGGGAUUACAGGUGUACACCACUGUACCCAGCUAUUUCUGGAAUUUUUCAUUUAAUAUUUUUAGACCAUGACUGAUUAUGGAUAGCUAGAAUCACAGAAAAUAAAACUAUGACUAAGUGACUAAUUUUUAAAGAGAGAGAGAGAGAAGAGACAGAGAAUUUUUUUAAAUAUUUUUCAGUUUUUGGUAGCCACAAUAUCUUUAUUUUAUUUUUAUGUGGUGCUGAACCCAGCGCCCCACGCAUGCCAGGCGAGCGCGUUACCACUUGAGCCACAUCCCCAGCCCCAAUAAGUGACUAUUAAUCUUUCUAUUUUUGCAUUUUGAUCAUGGCUUCAGGUUGGAGAAGAACAAGGCCAAGAGAAUCCCCCCGAUCAUGACCCAAUUCAUGACCAAAGUUGGUACCUGGACCAGACUCUCCGUAAGCGUCUCUAUGAGGAAUAUGGUGUGCAAGGCUGGGCCAUUGUGCAGUUCCUGGGUGAUGCUGUCUUCAUACCUGCAGGAGCCCCACACCAGGUAUUUUCUAAAUUGGGGUUGGGCUCUACAGCUCCAUGGGCUUCUUUAUGUCUGCUUCUCUUUCUAAUCUGACAAGAGAGAUAAAUGGCAGAAUUCGACUGAUUGCUUCACCAUACCACAACUUACUAUUUUGCUUUUUAAUUUUCUUCCUUAUAAUUUUAUUUAUUUUCAUAGGUAUGUGAACAUAAGCACGGUGAUACUGUGAUAGUUCCUCUGAUAACAGAGAGCUAGUGGGUAAUUAAUGGGCAGUAGUAUAGACAGCCAACAUUCUUUCUUUCAAAAGGACUGAAUUUUGGAAGUAAGAUUAGAAAAUAUAUGGUCCUCUUGUGUCCAAAGAUAUGUAUGCAAUUGGCUUGAUUAGUAUUUUUAUGCCUGUUGAUGUUAGUUAAUUUGCAUCCUUAGGUAUUAAUUUUUGAUAGCAUAUGCCCACAAAAAGAUUUGUAUGCCUGUAUUCACAGAAGUUUUAUUCUUGUCAAAAUUGGAAAUUACCCUAAUAUUCAUCAGUAGGUAAAUGUACAAUCCAGUUGUAGUUUAUCAAUAUGGUAAAAUGCCACCCAGGAGUGUACAGAAACAGAUUACAACAGAUCUGUUCCAUUAUAUUGGUCACAGAAUAAUCUUAUUAUGAGAGUACUACACACACAAAGGUAUGAAGGCUGUGACUACCAGAAGGUUGGGAUUAUUUUAGAGGUUGACUGCUACAGGUAUUUUUAAGAGGCAAAUACCUAAUGGGUAGUAGGGAAUGCAAUAUAGGGUGUCUGGAGUAGGGCAGAUAAGUGAGGCUUGGAAGAAAGGUCACUGUUAGAUUAUGAUGAGAAAUUUGACUAUGUGGCAGAAAUAAAACCAGCAUUAUUGCCAGGCACAGUGGUGCAUGCCUGGUAAUCCCAGCUACUCAGGAGGUUAAGGCAAAAGGAUUGAAAGUUUUAAGCCAGCCUGAGAAACUUAGCUAGAUCCUGUCUCAAAAAUAAAUAACUCAAAAAAUGUAGCUUAGUGGUUCAGCACUUGCCUCACAUUUGUGAGGCCCUGGAUUCUAUUCCUCAGUAUUGCGGGGAGAGGUUAAGACUUGCAUUGUCCAAAAUUAAUUGUAAAGGAACUCAUCUGCAACAAUGAGAUUGCAGAUAAUGUGGGAUUAAUCUCUUUCAAAAGGACUGAAUUUUGGAAGUAAGAUUAGAAAAUAUGUUGUAGUCCUCUUAUGUCCAAAGAUAUGUAUGCAAUUGGCUUGAUUAGUAUUUUUAUGCCUGUUGAUGAUAGUUAAUUUGCAAAUUGUAUUGUCAACACACUUUUUAAUCUGCUCUGAGCAGCUCAUAAAUAAGAUUCCUUGUAAUUUUAAGUCUUAUUUCAAAUUUUUCUGACUUUUUCUCCCCCCCGACCCCUCCACAGUGCUGGGGAUUAAACCCAGGGCCUCACACAUACUAUGCAGGCUCUCCACUACUGAACUGAGUCUCUAGCCCCUUUGUUUUAAAAUUUUUGUUUUUGGAAGUAGGGGUCAAACCAAGAGGUUCUUUACCCAUAAGGUAUAUCUCCAGACCUUUUAUUUUUUAUUUUGAGACAGGCUCUUGUUAAGUUGCCCACACUGGUCUUGAGUAGCUGACCAUGUACCACCAUCGUACCCAGCAAACAUUUUUAUUUAUAAUUUAUAUGUUUGCACUUACAAUGUCUCUGUAUUUUUAUUAUCAAAAUGAAGAACUAGAUGUGGUGGUCCCAACUGCUCAGGAGGCUGGGGUCAGAGGGUCACUUGAGCCCAGGAGUUCAAGGCAAGCCUGGGCAUCAUAAGAGUCUCCAAAAAAGAAAAAAAAAAAAAGGCAGGGAAUGGAUAUAUUAUGUGGAUGUUUUGUUUGUUUUUUAUUAUCAUAGACAUUUUCCAUGAGUUAUUGAUCUCUAAUGUCUGACGUUUUACCUCUGUACUCCCUCACCCCUACCACUGCCCCCAGGUUCACAAUCUAUACAGUUGCAUAAAAGUAGCAGAAGACUUUGUAUCUCCAGAACACGUGAAGCACUGUUUCCGCCUGACUCAGGAAUUCAGGCAUCUCUCCAACACUCAUACAAAUCAUGAGGAUAAACUGCAGGUAAAUAACUUCUCCUUCACCUCACACUGUCAUUUCUUCACAUGCUCACAUACUACACAGAAGGCACAUUCUCCUCUCUGAGGGUAUUCUCUAGUUGUCUGAUAGGAGGAAGAAUGACACAGGGAAUUCCACCUCGACCUAUGGAGUCUUCCUUUCAGAAACACCUUAUCAGUCCUCAGUUCUCUUCAGUUGUGCUCUUAACCUAAUCAUCUUUUAACCUAAUCAUUUCCAGCUGGGCAUGGUGCCACAUGUCUAUAAUCCCAGUGGCUCGGGAGACUGAGGCAGGAGGAUCGAAAGGCCACCCUCAGCAACUUAAUGAGAUCCUAUCUCAAUAUAAAAAGGGCUGGGGAUGAGACUUAGUGGUAAAGUGCCCCUGAGUUCAAUCCCACUACCUCCCCCAUGCCCCCCCCCAAAAAAAAAACCUCAUUUCCAGCAUGACAGCCCCUGUUUCUCUACCCUUGGAAUGUAUAAUGUUUCUUUGUUUUGGGGGUUUUUUUUAAUUUUUUGGAGUCAUAGAUGGACAUAAUACCUUUAUUUUAUUCAUUUAUUUGUAUGUGAUGCUGAGGAUCAAACCCAGUGCUUUACACAUGGUAGGCAAGCACUCUACCACUAAACCACAACCCAGCCCAGGUAUAGUGUUUUGAACUUUAGUAACUGACUUAGACACACCUCCCUGGUCAGCACUAAGGCAGUGUAAGAAGAGAUACAGACCUAAAACUGUUUCUUAUAGCAAAGUUCUGUGCAGAUUCAAAUUUUUAUAGCUGUCCUAGGGAUUGCAGUUCCUAUCCCUGAGAAUUGCAUUUGUAGGGGUGAAAAUUGUUUUCCCCUUAUAUAAUUGAACUGGAUGUUCAGAUUAGGAUUUUUGUGGUCUUGAAAUGGAUUGGAAUUUUAAGGACAAUUUCAUUAUUAAUUCACUUCAGUAACAAAAAGAAUAAAGAAACAGGAUUCUCCAUGCAGAAGAUUUAAUAGUUUGAAUAUACACUCUCCCCAUCUUUCACUUCUGGCCUCUUCUUCUGUUAUGCCUAUUUCAUUUCUGUCUUCUUUAGUUGAUGACAAAUCAGGUUGGAAGAAAUUUUGUUGUUGUUGUGUUGUUGUUGUUUAAUUGCUGGUAGGUUUAAUCACCUUCAACUCUGAGCUUGACCUGCUUUUCAUUUUUCAAUAUUUGAAACUCAUCAGCUGGGUGAUGGACAUACCUGUAAUCUAGCCAUUCAGGAGGCUGAGAUAGGAAGAUUGCAAAUUGGAGGCCAGCCUGGGCAACUUAACAACACCCUGUCUAAAAAUAAAACAUUAAAAAGGUCUGGGGGUGUAGCUUAGUGGCAGUGUGCUCCUGGGUUCCAUCCCCAGUACCAGGGGAAAAAAUUCAAGGAACAUUUCAACCAUUAAAUUCUUACACAAAGUAUAAUCACAUUAGUAUUAUAGAUAUAAUACAAAUAUUCAAACAUACAUAUUUCAGAUAUCACCUCAGUCUCUACUUGUAAUAUAUCACCUUAUCUGUAAGGCCUUUCUUGACCCUGUUGGGCACUAUUGUGCCCGCCUGUUUGCUUUAUUUUUUAUAUUUUUUUAUAUUGAUUUCUGCUUCACCACUCCAAUCCCCUUCUAUUGUCUCAGUUUCUUCUGUAGUAGUUUUCAUCAUCUGAUAUGGUAUAUACUUUAUCUGUUUGUCACUAUUCCUUCUCAAAUGUAAGUUAUUUAAGCUCUGUGAAGGCAGGAAUUUUAUUGUUUUGUUUGUUUUUGCAGUACUAGGCAUUGAACCUAGAGCCUCGCACAUGCUAAGUAAUAAGUGCUCUACCAUUGAACUACAUUUCCAGCUCUUAUUUUUAUUUUGAGAUAGGGAUCUGGCUAAAUUGCCCAGGCUAGACACAAAUUUGUUAUCCUCCAGUCUCAGCCUCCCAAGUAGCUGAGAUUACAGGUGUACACCACCACACCUGGCUUUGCUAUUUUAUUCACUGCUGUCCUUAGCAUGAUGGCUGGCACAUAGUAGGUACUCAGUAAAUAUUUAUUGAAGUAAUAAAAAAAAAAAUAGAGACUAGCACAAGGGAGAUUUGUGUGCCCACUACAAAGUGCCCCUUAUGUUUUAUGAAAUGAUAUUAUAUAUGUAUACAACCUACAACAGUUACAUUGUUGAAUGUAUUCUUCCCCUUUCCAUUUCUCCAUUUUCCCUCCAUAGAGAUAACCACAGUCUUGGGGCUAGGGAUAUAGCUCACUUGGUAGAGUGUUUGCCUCACAUGCACAUGCACAAGGCCCUGGGUUUGAUCUCCAACACCACCAAAAAAAAAGGAGAUAACCACAAUCAUCAUGUCAUUCCUUUUUUAAAAACUGUCUUUAAGCUGGGUGCGGUGGUGCAGGUGCACACCUGUAAUCCCAGCAACUCGAGGGGUUGAGCCUGGAUGGAGGAUCACGAGUUCAAAACCAGCCUCAGUAAUGGGGAGGCACUUAGCAACUCAGAGUCUCUAAAUAAAAUACAAAAUAGGUCAAGUGCCCCUGAAUUCAAUCCCUGGUAUCCUCCCCCCCCCCAAAAAAAAAACAAACCUGUCUUUAGCCUGUUUGCUUGCUUGCUUGCUUGCUUUUUUUAUCUUUGGUACUGGGGAUUGAACCCACGGGUGUUUAAUCACUGAACAACAACAAACAACAACACAGCCCUUUUUUAUAUUUUAUUUAGAGACAUGGUCUCUCUCGCUGAGUUGCUUAGGGCCUCACUAAGUUGUUGAGGCUGGCUUUGAAUUUGAAAUCCUCCUGCCUCAGCCUCUGGGAUUUCAGGCAUGUACUAUUGUGCCUGCCUGUUUGCUUUAUUUUAAUAACUUUUUAAUUGUGUCUUCCAACUUCACAUGUAACACUUGUUCCUUUUAGGCAAAUUAAAACAUACAUAUAGGAUUGGGAUUUUGACUCAGCGGUAGAAUGCUCGCCCUAGCACAUGGGAGGUGCUGAGUUUGAUCCUCAGCACCACAUAAAAAUAAAUAAAUAAAAUAAAGGUGUUGUGUCCAGUUACAACUAAGAAAAAUAGAUAUAAAGGAGCCAGGCUUGGUGGCGCAUGCCUGUAUCCCCAUGGCUCGGGAGUCUGAGAUAGGAGGGUCAUGAGUUCAAAGCCAGCCUCAGCAAUGGCAAGGCGCUAAGCAACUCAGUGAGACCCUGUCUCUAAGUAAAAUACAAAAAAGGGCUGGGGAUGUUGCUCAGUGGUUAAGCACCCUAGGUUCAAUCCCCAGUACAAAAAAAAAAAAUUCAACAUACCAAUAGUACAAAACUACACAGCAUUAUAAGUUAUUUCCCCCCUUCCCCUUCCACUGUUCAUUGCAUCCUUAUUAGCUUUAGGACUUCGGCAAGAUUCUUUACCUUGGAACCUGUAUUUCCUCAGUUUCUCACCUAUAAAAUGGAGAUGAUAAUAGAUAUUAAUCUACCUCAUAGGAUUAUGGCAAGGAUUAAAUGAAAAUCCAUAUAAAUAACUUAGUAAUAGUACCCAGCACAUAGAUAAUGGUGAUUGUAUAGCCUUUCAAGUGAUUGUAUCAUUCUUUCUUAAAUACAGACCUGUAGCUGGGUUUGGUGGCACACACCUAUAAUCCUGGUGAUUUUGGGGAGGCUGAGUUAGGAUUACCAGUUGGAGGCUAGCCUCGAAAGACUCUGUCUCAAAAUAGAACGGGCAGAGGAUAUAACUCAGUGGUAGCUACAGGGUGUUCAGUCCCUGGUACGGCAAGGAAAAUAAAUACAUGGAGAACUUACAUUGUGCACAAUUUAUAAAUCCUGGUGGGGAGUGAUUUAGGAAGCAUGCAGUCAUUUCUUCACCAGUUGGCUUAGAAUCAGAGUAGAACUUUACAUUUGUGUUUGUGGAACACAAAAUGGAGCUGCAUUCAACUGACAGUGCUAAUUACUCUCCAGGUGAAGAACAUCAUUUACCAUGCAGUGAAAGAUGCUGUUGGUACCCUCAAGGCUCAUGAAUCCAAACUGGCAAGGUCUUAGGCACGGAGAAAUUCCAAGCUCCCUUGUGAAGCAGGUCUUUUCACUCAACACUUACAGGGAACCACAGGGUUCUCUGCUGGAGCAGAGGCCCUUCACCUGGAGCCAGUGUGGUCAGUAUUACAAACUCUCCAGCCACUCUUUCUACGCUGCCUCAACACUGAAGGUUGACACAGGAAAGUCGCACUGUUCACACACACAGUUUCUGACUCCAAGCCAAGGGUGCCACAUCCCCAGCCAGUGGCCUUUUGGGAACCCGGAUUGCCUGAACAUCGAUAGGCUUUCCUGCAUUAUUCUCUGACUUGAGAUCAUGGAAUCCAGGAAUGUGGGCACACUUUUCUUUUCCUCUUGUGCCUCGUUAAGUGGGGAUGUGUUUGGAGGUAGAGGGAAUCAUGUAACUGGUACAAGUAGGGGUGAUUGCUUAAAUAUGCCUGGUGGAAGCCUGACUGUCUCUGCACAUGACCUCUGACAUGGCCUGCCCCAGGAGAUGGGGUACAGCUAUUCCCCACACUCUCCCAUGAACACUGGAGUCUUACAGGACCCAGGGAGAACCCACUGCUUUUCCCAGGAGGCUCCAGGAUUAGGAAAUGUGUGUAUUUAGUGAAAAAUAGGUUUGUAGUGAAAUAGUUACUAUUUCAUGAAAGUAGAUAUUUUUAGAAUUUUUGAAAUACCACAGUUGUUUUCCUGGAUUAUGAGGAAAGGCACAUUACAUUUAGUCUUCCUUUCGAUAAAACUCUUUGAAGAAAUAUGAUUUUUAGAAAUCAGUUGCCCAUUAUAGCACAAAAUUAGCCAAAGCAGAAUUUAAAAGAAUUGGCUUUUUAGAAUUCUUUUAGUUUCUCCCUCUCCCCUCUCAGUCUUAUCUUGAGGGAACAGUCAUCUGAGAAAGAACUUUGUCAUGUCUGAGCUGUGGUGUGUCCCCACAUAUACAUACACACUGGUGACUCCAGGAACCAUUUUCACCUAUUACCAGCGUUCCCUUGGGACUCCUCAUUUCCAAAUGCUAAGGAAAGUUUGAUUUCCAACAUGAAGGUUUUUGUUUUUUGGGUUUUUGUCCUGAAAUAUUUUCAGCAAAACUUUCCAACUCAGUGGAGUUUUUAUUAAAAAUUUAUUUGAAAAUGAUGGAAUUCAUUGGCCCAUAGGUACAUUGGGAAAUGUAUCUCUUUCCAGCUGUACUGUAGUGCCCUGCAGGCUUGUUUAUAUGUUCACAAUUACUUUUUUUUUUUUUUUAAUAAAAGUCAUUUACUGUAGAAUACUUUUAAUUUCACUUUCUGUAUUUUAAUUUUGUCGAAGG
rnacentral:lncRNA from 1 species